CGGACGACAUCAUAAACUCUGCAAACCGGGCCGAGUCAAUCCCACAUUCUCGGUUCAUCUCGAAAUCAAUCCCCUGUCGCCGGAGCAACUCGAUGGAGGCCGGUGCGUAUAAAUCACGGGUCAUAUCAAAAUCAGAGAAGUUGAACUGCCAGAUGUACCGGUAACCUUCGCCGGAGCCCAAAUCAGGUAAGUUACCCUCAGCGUCAGAUAAUGUAAGACCGAGCUGAAUAAGAUUCAAUACGUCAACGUUAGACUUCAAUAACUUAUACUGAUCGGACGGCAAAUUUCGCCGGCGACGGUAAAUUUCAGCAGGCUUGAAAACAACACCGGGAAACUCCGUAUCCAUAGAUAUAAAAGGGUACUGAUCAAUCACCGUAGAAAUGAGUUCAAAUUCUGAUUCAAGAUUAUCAGCCCAUACUUCCCGAAUUUUUAUAGCCAUCUCGUUUAAUCUCCAAAAUCCUUAAACGGGUAAUCCCUAAAAUUGAAAACCCCUGUCGCCGGAGCAACUCGAUAGAGUCCGGCGCGUAUAGAUCCUGGGUCACAUCAAAAUCAGAGAAGUUGAACUGCCAGAUGUACCGGUGACCUUCGCCGGAGCCCAAAUCUGGUAAAUUCCCCUCAGCGUCAGAUAACGUAAGACCGAGCUGAAUAAGAUUCAAUACGUCAACGUUUGACUUCAAUAACUUAUACUGAUUGGACGGCAAAUUUCGCCGGCGUCGGUAAACUUCAGCAGGCUUGAAAACAACACCGGGAAACUCCGUAUCCAUUGAUAUAAAAGGGUACUGAUCAAUCACAGUAGAAAUGAGUUCAAAUUCUGAUUCAAGAUUAUCAGCCCAUACUUCCCGAAUUUUUAUAGCCAUCUCGUUUAAUCUCCAAAAUCCUUAAACGGGUAAUCCCUAAAAUUGAAAAAAAAAAAAGGGUUUUGAAGGAAAGAGGAUGUUGUUUGUUUUGGUGGAGAGUGGUUUUUAUAGGAAGAAGGGUGGAGUGAAUAAAGAUAAAGAAUAUGUUAGUAUUGCUUAUUAGGAAAGGGAAAAGAAGGGUGGUGGGGGAGUUGAGUGGUCUGCAGAAGGACAAAGGAAAGAGAUGGGAUGGUAAAAUGAAAUAGGGAGGUUUCUGGUCUAUGUUCAACGCGUUUGACUGAUGAAGGCUGCUAGCUAGUGUAGUAAUAUAAAAAUUUGGUUUGUAAUAUUGAUAAUACACGGAUUAAGUGUGUUGAACCAAUUCAUUCAAGAAAUACUUUUUAUAAUAUUUGGUAAAAUAAUUUAUAUUUCGCCAAUCUUUUUAAAGCUUACUUUUAAGUGUCAAAUUAGUAAAAACAAUAAUAUCAAGGUCUUAUAAUUAUUUUAAAGAGAAAAAUGAACUGAAAUAUUAUUAUAAGAGACUUUUAUUAUUUUUAUUUUGUUUAAUUAAAUAUAAAAUAUAAAAUAAAUAAACAUAAUAAAGAUUUAACUCAACUUUACAUAUAUAGUUGUACCAAAGUCUAUAAUAUAAUCUUUUUAAUUACUUAUUAUUACACAUUGAUUUGAAUAAUCAAAAUACAUCAUUUCACAUGAAUUAGAAGUAUGUUCCACAAAAUAUUAUAUACUUAUAAUCUAUCAUGAAAUAAUAAGUAAAGUCACUCAGACAUGAUAAUAUUUUUCAACAAUUUCAUCUCUACUUCUAUCACACAAUGCAUUCAUAUUAGUAGAAGACUUGCCUUGCAUUACUAAAGGAAUAUCAGAAGACCCAUCUUCAUCCUUAAUUUUUGCAGUAAUGUCUUUAUUUGCAUAAUAGUUGAAUUCCUUAUCAGUAGAAGAAUAUUGCUGGAUGAAAUUAUAUACAGCCAUUAUAGUUGUAAGUAGAUGAUUCUAAGUGACAAACUUAAAAUAUGGCAUUGAGCGUAAAAUAAAAAUAAGUUUAAAGAGUAGUUAAUCAUUAAACACAUAAUGUAUAACUUAAUUUUUGAUAUAUUUAAAUUAAAAACUAUUUAUUACCUGACCUAACUAAUUUUGUCGUAAAUUGCCGUAGCCUAUUAUGAGACUACCAUUUGGCUUAAUCUGGAUGUUUCUUUAUCUUCUAAUAAUAUGCAAUAGAUUAUGAGAUGAAAUUGUAAAUGUAUACCUAUUUGUAUGUAAUUUUCACAAAUUAAAUUUGAUAACCAUUUUAAAGAUUCGAGAACUACUAGCCUAUAACAGAAAAAACAAUAAAUAGUUAUUUGUAGAAAAAGAAUUGAUAAUUCAAAAAGGAGGUAGAUAAUUUGCUUUAGUGUGAAGAAAGAAGAACAUAAUUUAAAAAGUUACAAGACAUUACACCAAAAAAAUAAUAAUUCAAAAACAAGAAAAGUCAGUAAAGAAUUUGGAAAGUUAAUAUAUUCAUAUAUAUGAUAUCUUUUACUUUAAGAGAAUGAUAAAAAUCAAAAACAAAUAUGAAAAAAACUUAAGUUAGUAAGGGAUAAUUUGAAAAGUAUGAAUUUUAAGGUAAUGAUAGUUUUGUCUCGAGUAAAUUAAUUUUUUGCUUCUGCUUUUGCUUCUGUUUCGUAGAAGAAGCUAGAAUUUUCUGUUUCUUCGCAAAAGCAGAAAAUUGCUUCUACUGCUGAUCAAAAGUACUUCUUUAUCUUGAUCAAACCACUUAAAUUUUUAAAAAAUACUAUUUUUUAAAAGGAAAAAGUACGUUUAGCCUCUCAAAAGCAUAGGCAAACAAACUCUAAGUUAGAAUCAUAUAUUAUUUUAAGUUAGAUUAAACAUUGAACUAAAAUUACAUAUACGAGUUUUUAAUUGUUAUAUAAUAAUCUCUUUAUUAUUAUUGACUGCACAACAAUUUUUUCAUUAUCAAUCAGCGCAUAUAAGUUGGGCUUUAUAAUUUCUGUAUAUUUAGACCUCAGCGUGAACAAAUGAUUCCUUAAGUAUAUUUGAAUAAAUUUUAUCAUCUACUUAUAAUUUCAAUGUAUGUAAAAGUUUAUUUACAAUUCUUUAAAUAAAUUAUUUAACUUAGUGUAACACGAAGUACAAUGAACACAAAGUAGAAUGUGUUUUCACAUUUCACAAUGUUUGGAUAAUGUUUUAAAAGAGGGAAUGGUUUUCGCUAUACAGACUGGAAGGGAGCGAAGCAAGUACUGAUUCUGUUUUGUGUGUAUUUCUGGUUUUUGUGGAACUGUGGAUUAUUUUGAUAGUUUGAGAAUGAGACACUUGCAUGGCGGUGCACGUAAAAAGUUACUAAACUCUUAAUGAUAAUUCUUUAGGAAAAUUGUGUACCUUCAAAAUCGGAUCACAAUUAAAUUUGUAAGUAUUUUUAUGGGUAUAUAGAUUAACUUGAUACAAAGCGAUGAAUUGAACUGUAAUUGAAAUAAGCAAUGAUAAAUUAAAUUCAAACCACACGAAUUGAACAGUUACAGUCUUGGGAGAUUAGCCAUCCUCGAACUGGAUGUAGUUCGAUCGGUAUCAAGACAUAACUAAAACAAGAAGUUACAAAGAAGAAUAACGUAUUGCAUUAGAAUGAGUGUUACAAUGUGUUUUACAAGUAAUCAGACCUUCUUUAUAUAGUAGGGGAGUCCUACUUUAGGUACAAUUAUAUAAAAGGUAAAAAUCUCUUGAUUCACAGAUUUGGCGGUUCCUUAUUGAUUCAUACCGAGAUUUUCGCCGUAAUAUCCGACCGGUCAUGGAUAUUUCGGUCUUCCUUUGGUUAGGCUAACAAUGUUUCCUCGAGCUCAUUCGGGGUCAGGAUCGAUUUCAGGACUACGGGCUCGAUGUUCUCGAGGACAAACAUUCUGAUCUCGGGUUCUGGCCUGGUGGGACUUGGAGUUUAUCUUCGGUCCCUCAUGUUACGAGCCCAAUCUACCAUGUCGUAGAUGAGCCCGAUUUCUAGCGUAUACAGAUAGUCUCCUAAUUUUUUGGAGAGUAGACAACGAGAAAUGACAUGAGCUCUUGAUUCUCACCUCGAUACCUUGCGACAGAAACGGAAAAAUAAGCAAAACAUCGCGUCAGUCGAGUCUUAAUGGCAUUAAAUGCUUGUCAGUUGCCGGUUAGCCACUCCAGGAUGCGAAGCGUUGUUUGAAAACUAUAAGUACCCCCCUUCUUUAUUCAUUCAAACUUUAAUGGGAGAAGAGACAAUUAUGAGGGAGAGAAAAAUCGAUUCUGAAACGGCGGUAGUUUUAUGGGGAGUUGCAACGUUUCAGAGGGAGAUGAAGGGAAUUUGAAAUGAAAAGACGUGACAUACAGGGUCUUAAAAGGUUGAUGACAUGGCACUCUAUUUUUUCAUCCUUUUGAGAUAUGUAUGAAAAAAGCACAAUACUACUAAGCCAUGAUGCAAGAACUUGGUUCUUGACCUGUCUUUGAAAUUUAAAUACUUUUUUUACCAUCCAUGCAUUGCAUUUACAGCUAUAAUCAUCAUGUAUGUCUACUUGCAACGAUAUUAAAGUAAGUUAGAAUUGGUCGGAAAACACUUCAGCUAAUGUUACCUGAAAGUGAAUUUCAUAGCCAACUGAAGGGAAUUAGGUUGGCAUGUAGGCUUUAUUAGCCCCAACUCUAGCCUAUUUCUAUCAAAAUGUUCUCUGCUCAAUGCUUUGGUGAAGAUAUCUGCAAUUUGGUCUUUUGUACUGCAGAAAUUCAUACAGAUAAGCCUUUUCUCUACACUGUCUUUGAGAAAAUGGUGUCUCACAUAAUGUGCUUGGUUCUUUUGUGUUGAAUCAGGUUCUUUGCCAUGUUGCAUGCACUGGUGUUGUCACAUAAAAGAAGCACAUAGUCAGUGUACAUACCAAAUCCUCCAAUUGUUGUUUAAUCCAUAGGAGUUGUGCACGAGAGAUAGAAAUCGUCAAAGAUUAAGUAUAAAAUUUCUUCAACACACUAAGCCCGCUUGUUGUACAGCUUGUUGGCUUUACUUUGAGAGGAGUACCCAAGAAGAAGAUUCCUUCAUCACUUUUGGCAUAAAAGUUUCCAAGAUAAUCUUUUCCAUUGUUGAGAACAUAACAUUUGCACCCAUAUGCUUUCAAAUGUGUCAGCUUGGGCUUCUUUCUAUUGAGAAACUCAUAGGGAGUUUUGUUCAAGAGAGACAUGAUCAUGAACCUGUUUAUUAAGUAGCAGGCAGUAUUGAUAGCUUCAACCCAGAAGUUCUUCGCAAUCCCACUAUCGAUCAACAUUGUCCUUGCCAUUUCUUCAAGGUUUCUAUUCUUCCUUUCCACAACUCCAUCUUGCUAUGGAGUUCUGGGGGCUGAGAAAUUAUGGGUAAUGCCAUUUUUGUUGCAAAAAUACUCAAACUUGGCAUUAUCAAAUUCUGUUCCAUGAUCUGAUCUUAUGCAGGCUACUUUUGAAUUCAUCUUCACUUGAAUUUUCUUCACAAAUGCUACAAAAACUUCAAAAGUCUCAUAUUUUGUUCUAAGGAAAAGAGUCCAAGUGAAUCUGGAAUAGUCAUCCACUAAGACAAAAAUGUAUUUUUUCCUCCUCUGCUUUGUACUCUUAUAGGACCACAUAAUCCAUAUGAAGGAGAUCAAGUGGCUUUGAGGUGUUGACAUCCUUUUUUGGCUUAAAUGAAGAUUUCACAUGCUUCCCUCUGGCGUAGGAAUCACAAACUUUGUGCUCCAUAGACUUUGAUUUAGGUAAACCACGAACCAAGUCCUUCUAAACUAGCUUAUUUAGUAGAGAAAUGCUUGCAUACCCUAGUAUUCUGUGUCACAGUUCAUCAUCAUCAUCAACUACCUUCAAGCAACUUAGAUCAACUCUUUGUAGAUAUUUAAAAUCAGCAAUGUAGAUGUUCUUGUAUCUUUUGGUCACCAGUACCACUUCACCCCUUACUAGAUUAGUAACUGUGCAUGUCUUUGACAAGAAUUCCACCUUGUUUUCUUUAUCUCAUAUUUGAGAAAUACUGAACAGACUUUACUUGAGGCCAUUGAUGUAGUGCACAUUCUCAAUUGAGUGAAUGGGUGAUUUCUCAAAUUUUCUAACUCCGAGAAUGUACCCCUUUUUUCCAUUGCCAAAGGAUACACUCUGUCCUUGCCGGUAUUUAGUGAAAGAAAGUCCAUGGUGUUCCCAGUCAUGUGUUUUGAGCAUCCACUAUCUAUGAACCCUUGUUGAUUCCUUUCUUUCAUUGUUCCCUGCACAAGAAAAUCAAGAGUUAGUUUUAGGAACCCAAGCAAGUUUGAGUCCCUUGUACUAAGUAAGAGAAUGAAUAAGAGCUCUUUUAGUCCAUGCAGGUAACAUGAGUUUUUGUGGGUGGCACCCACUCCAUUUCACUUGUUACUUUUCAGCAAACACUUUGUUUUUCUGAAGGGACUGGACCCUGGCUUGGCAAUUUUCUUUGAAAUGCCCAUUGUUUCCACAGUGGGUACACAAUCAAUUCUGGUACAGUAACAUACUUUCUAUGGGGGUUGUAAGGAUUUCUCUCCCUUUGAAACCCUAUUCCUUGCCUGUUUCCACCAUUAUUAACAUAUAUGGUAGUUAUAGAUUCCGAGGACCAGAUCCACUGAAGGGACUUCUCAAGAUCAUUUUUCACUCUUUUUAGUUCUUUUUGGAGUUGCCUAUUUUUCUCAAGUUCAGCACAAACUAGUUCUCACAAUAUUUAACUCAUUUUCAAGCUUAAUGUGUCCCUCACUAACUACCUCUUUCCCUUUUUUAGAAUCCAGCCUUACACUCAGCUCCAAGUUCCUCUAUAGUUUCCCUUAAGUCUACAAUUACUAUUAUGAGGUCAUCUCUCUCAUGCUCAAUAACAAUCACUUUCUCCACUAAGGGAUCCUUUUCUUUACUUAAAUUCUCAGUCAUUUCUUUCAAGUCAACUACUAUCACCACCAGAUCAUCUCUUUCGUGUUCUACACUAGUGAUUUACUUAGUUGGAACCUUCUUUUCAUUUUCCAGAUUAUCUAUUGUUUCCUUCAAAUCAACCACACCAACUAUCAAGUCAUCUCUAGUUUGCUCAAUAUCUCCUAAUUCUAUGGUCAAGGCAUCCUUAUCAUCUACAAGACUAUGAUAACUAUCGAUUAAUACAUUGGUUAAUGGCAUGAGUUUCUUAGGAGAGUAGGAUUUCAGAUUUCUUUGAAGUUCCCUGAAGUUUACCUCAUCAUUGUCAUUAUCUUCAUUAUCAUCUAAUUGAGCCAUUAAAGCAAAUAUUGAAUCAUAUUCAUUUCUUUCACUUUCAACUGUCAUCAUGGAACUAUCACCUGCAUCAGUUUCUUCUUCAUACUCACUUGAGGAAUCUCCCCAUGCUGCAAGAGCUUGCUUCACAACGUUGUCACCGGCAUUCUGUCUUCUAAAGCAUUUGUCAGGAACCGGGUUCCUUUUGGCUGCUUUAUCAGGGUUGUACUUGAAGUGUUCUUGCUUCAGGAGAAGACAAUCUUUGAUAAGAUGCCCAGGCUUUCCACAUUUAUGACAAGGUCAUAAUUCUUUGGUAUGCUGGAACUGCCUCUUUUUGGUAUCCCUCCAUUUCUUCUGACCAUUUUCUGAAAUAAUUUGGUUAGGUAAGUCAUGUCACAGUCCUCCUCACUUGACUCACUGCCAUUAGCUUUGAGUACCAAGUUCUUUUCCUUCUUUGGUUCUCUUCUUUCACUGUCCUUAUUCUUCUUUAUUUCGUAAGUUUUAAGAUUUCCAUCUAGUUCAUCAAUAGUUAGGGCAUGUAGAUCCUUUUCUUCAGUAAUGGUAUUCACUUUGAUCUCCCACGAACUAGGCAGAACACUGAGAAUUUUUCUCGCGGCCUUGUUCCUAGGGAUGAUUUCACCGAGCGAGUGUUUCUCAUUUAUGAUGGAAGUGAAUCUUGUGUGCAUAUCUUGAAUACAUUCAUCGUCUUUCAUCCUGAAAAGCUUAUACUUAGUGGUGAGCAUAUCAAUCUUGGAUUGCUUUACUUGAGUAGUUCCCUCAUGUGCUGUUUGUAAAGCUUCCCAUAUUUCCUUGGAGGAUUGACAAGCUGAGAUCCUGUUGUAUUCAUCAGGUUCUAUGCCACACACCAAAAUUUUCUCAGCACAAAAUAUUUUCUCCAUAGCUUUCCUAUCUGUAUCGUUGUAUUCUUCUCUAGUCUCUGGCAUCGUCACUAGAUGGUCUUAGAGUUUCUUCGUUGGGACAUAAGGGCCAUCACAUAUAGCAUCCCACAACUCAGAAUCUUCUGUCAUGAUAAAAUCAUGUAUUCUUGUCUUCCACCACCCAUAGUAUUGCUCAUUAAACCUAGGUGGUCUAUACAUAGACUGACCUUCUUCGAGAUUUGGUAGAGCAGCUAUAAGGAUCCUUCAUAGUUUUUCACUAAACUAUGUAAAGACCAGGUCCUCAAUGAGUUUCUAUUGAGAAUGAUAAUAAAAAAGUAAGUAAAUAAAGUAGGGAUUUUUUACGUAGAAAAAUCCCUGCUCAAGGGGAUAAAAAAACACAACCUACACUAGUAGGAUUUCAACUUCACUAUGAACAACUUUAGAUUAUAACCUAUGCAAUAUAGGAAUUAAACUCGCAAUCCCUCACUAACUUGCAUUACACCUAUUACAAGCUACUUUGCAAUACUCCUAUUACAAAGACUUCAACUCAUGACUAACUCUAGUUGCGACAUAAACACUAAGGGUUCAUGGUUUUAUAAGGGGUUCCUAACAAAUGCUUCAAAAUAAAGAAUGAUGGUAACAACGUUGUGAAGCAAGCUGUUGCAGCAUGGAGAGAUUCCUCAAGUAAAUCUAAAGAAGAAAUUGAUGCAAAUGAUAGUUCCAUGAUGGCCGUGAAAGUGAAGGAAAUGAAUUCUCGAGUGUUCAAGUGUCGUUUGGUUAUAAUAUUUGAUGUUUAUACAACAUGGAUGACAUAACUUAAAUGAUGUAAUCCCUUGGUAAGUCAAAUGAGAAGUGACUAUAGAACUGUGCUGCGCUAUUUUUGUGUACAGUGCAGGCAGUCAUUUUCCAGCUACAGAUAGUUGACUUUGUACUAUUGUCAGGGAAUCAUAAGGGUAUCAGGUCCUUGUGUUGAUUCUCUAUCUUUUGAAGUCAUAGCAAAUCAAAUAAGCUGGAGUUCGUUGAUUGGAGUUGUAUACCAAGUGUAUCAGAUUCCUUAUCUGGUUCUUUUACAUUAAGUUAGUUGGAUCAUCAAAACAUAAAGCUAAGGUAUUGUAAACCAUAAAAGUGUUAAAUCGGGUAACUUCAGAUGCCUCUUGAUGACUUCUGAUAUGUACUGAGAUUAAUUUGUAGAUAAUCACAAAUUUUUUAUUUGUGUUUGUAGUCCUCAGUGCUUCAUUACGAGACUUUUCUCCAAUAUCGGGAAGAGCUAAACCAUUAUGAGGCUAAGAUUUGAGAGCUCACAGAGAAGAGGGAUACUUACAAACUUCUCGGCGAGCAAUGUGAGAGAGAGGUUAAGAGCCUCCGGGCUGAGCUAGAGGCUACUCGGAAGGAGCAGGCCAACCUGGUGGAAAAGGUAAGAAUCUUUGAGGUUUAGUGACAAUGAACUAGACUCGGUGACUAACGUUGCAGGUCCAAAAGAAUCUUGAUAGGAUCGACCAGCUUCGGAUAAAGAUAGAUGUGAUAAACCCGAGGACUAAGAAUGGAAAAGAAAAAUGGAUUUCUAGGCCUCCGGAAACUACCCUAGCGUAAUUGGUUUCAGCGAAGUUCCAGCUUCGGGAAACAAAGGAAAAAGGCGCUGGUGUAGGGCAAAAAGAGUAAGGAACUCCAGUCUCAGCUGAGUUUGGCUGCCUUUGAUCGAGAAACUCUGGUCAAGGAGCUUGAAACAGCCAAGUCAGUGGUUGUGGUGGUCAAUGUUGAUGUUGAUGAGAUAGUGGCCUAAUAUAAAGCCAACGCCGAGGUGGAACAGGACUGAGCGAAGGAUAUAGACGAGCACGUGAAGCGAAAAUCUCAAAGGGAGGUCCUCGAUGAGAUGCACGCUUGGGGUUUUGACCUGUCAACUGAAAUUGAGAGUGCCAAUGGGCUCGAAACCUAGGACAAUAGGUUGUCUUAUCAUGAGGAUGAUGAAUGCUCAGAGAGUUUAAGCGGAUCCGAGGAUGAAGGAGGCCCCGAAGCUCCUGGCAACGAGGCUGGCUCUGGUGAAGACCAUGCCGUUUAAAUGACUUGUACACUUUUUUAUGAAUCUUUGUACUUGUGUACUUUUUUUCUUUAUUUUAGGUCAUUUGGACUUUGUAAAAUUUUGUAUCGAGGCCCUUUUAGCCGUCGUAAAAAACUUUUGAUAUGCAUAAAAGCUUUUUCCCUUCAACAAUUUCUGAGUUUUUCCUUUGCUUUGUGAUUCAUAUUUGCAAAGAUUAAAAUGCUUUAGCAUGAAAUGGUUAGGCUAUGCUAGGGGUUCUAACGGGCCUUGCCUACAACAUUGUGUUGUUUAAGGCAUUGUGAGGGUUCGGUAUGACUAAAAAAAUUUCCCCAAAUUACAAAGUACUAAUAAUUUUAUAGUUUGUCAAGGGUAGCCUUUAGAACCGAUUAAGAAUUUUGAAGGACUUGUUUUUUGUUACGAAUUUUCUACGUCUCCGAGCCAUUUUAGUAUGGCUAUAGACCAUUUAGUUCGGGUGUUGCCCAAUGGGAUUGUAACCCCGAGUAUCCGACUUGCCUAAGAUAUCAGUAGUCCCUAAAUAGGGAUGGCUGUAGCCUUUAAAAUUUGGGCGUUGCCUAAUCGGUCUUAUGCCCUUGAGCUCCGAUAGCUCAGACCAUCCUAGUUUGUCUACGGUUGGUAGUCCUUUAGUGCCAAUGAUUGUUUGAACUUGGAUUAAGGUGACCCUUGGGCUCGAUACCUUUAGGGGAUUAGAUGCAGAAAAUUCCUUAGAAAUGCAAGAAAAACUUUAAGGGACAAAACUAUUUAUUCGCAAGGAAGAGUUUUCCUUUUGUUCUUGUGCAUAAUAGUUAUACUCGUGUACAUGCUUUGUGGCAGGGUUUGAGCUUCCUGUGCGGUCAUCGUUCAUUUGACCAUUUGACCCUUACAGUAAAUCCUAUCGAUCAAGUGGAGACCAUUCAAUCAAAAAGUUUCCUUCCUUGCUAAAGUCGAUAUCCGAAGGUAAUGCCCUCCAGUAUUCGAGGUUGAUCAUAGAGAGAAGCCUUAGAUACUGUUGAUGCGAUCUUUGACACCGAUUCAUGACCGACCUUCUACUCUAAGUUAGCACAAUCCAUUGACGCCUCAUUAAAACCCUUUCUUGAAAACCCAUUUUGGAUAAAACCGGUUCAAGGGAAAAAGAGUGUAAAACGUGCUUUCAGACCUAAAAGUUUGUACCGCUCCUUAUUGGUUACCUGUAAGCGUUAGUUCAAAAAAAGAAAUGAAUGGGGUUGUACCUUAGCAGUAGUAUCAUUUCAAGUGACUUAUAUUUCAGUUGUUCGGUUGGCUGCCCCAAAACAACGGAUGGAGAGAUACUGCAACCGAACUAUUUACCGUUAAAAUAGAAUAACAAUUAAAUUUGUUAGUGAUUUUAAAGAUACAUGGAUUAGCUUGACACAAAGCGAUGAAUUUAAUUGCAAUUGAAAUGAACAAUGAUAAAGAAAAUUCAAACCACACGAAUUGAAUAGUUACAAUCUUGAGAGGUUAGCCACCCUCGAACUGGACGUACUUCGAUCGGUAUCAAGACCCAACUAAAAUAAGAACAUAAAGAGAAGAAUAAUGGAUUGCUUUGGAAUGCGUGUUACAAUGGAUUUUAGAAUUAAUCAAUCCCCAUUUACAUAGUAGGGGAGUCCUACUUUAUGUACAAUUCUAUAAAAGGUAAAAAUCUCUUGAUUCGCUAAUUUUCCAGUUCCUUAUUGAUACAUGCCGAGAUUCCCGCUGUAAUAUCUGGCCGAUCAUGAAUACUUCGGCUUUCUGUUAUUUUAGUGUUCUUUUGGUUACGCUGACAAUAUUUUCUCGAGCAUGUUCGGGGUUAGGGUUGAUUCCGGGAUCACAAACUUAAUGUUCUCGAGGACAGACAUUAUGAUCUCGGGUUCUAGCCUGGUGGUACUUGGGGUCGAUCUUCAGUCCCUCAUAUUUCAGGCCCGUUCUACCGUAUACAAAAAAUCUGAUUUUAGUGUUCUUCUCUAAGUAAGGCAAGGAGGAAACUAUUAGAAUUGAGUCAUCAAAUGAUUGAGAAAUUAACAAAAAAAAGUUGAUUUAAAGAGUAGACUCAUGAGACUACUAUGAGCCCGUUUAGAUUAGCUGUUUGUAACUAACUGAUAAGUUUGAAGUGCUACAAAGUUUUUUUAAGUGUUGAAAUUGAUUUUUAAAUAAUCAUUUAUAUGUUUGGAUAAACGUGCUGAAACUGAUAAUAAGCAGUUAUUGUGUUUGAUAGAAAAGUGCUGAUAAAUUAUUCUUUUAUUAAAAUGAAUAAAAUUCCUUAAAACAUACAAAAGAUUAUAAGUUAAAAAGUUUCUUUAUAAAGAAAACGAUGAGCAACAGAUAUGGAAUGAAAAGAAAGUUAGAAAUUCUAUUUUGCAAAAAUUAUUUUGUGAGUUAGAAAAUGGAUAAACUAGUAAAAGCCUAAGAGGGGUUUGGCUAAGCUUAUAAGCUGAUCAAAGUGGCUUAUAAGCACAUUUUGACUUAUCUACGCAUUUGAUAAAUACCCAAAAUGCUUAUAAAUCAGUUAUAAGUCAUAAGUUGGUCACCCCCAACUUAUGACUUUUUAGCUUGUAAGCACUUUUAGUUUGACCAAGGCUUUUACUAGUUUAUCCUUAAUAAUAUUUUCUAAUUCACAAACUUUCUUUGCUUAUAAGCACAUUUUGGCUUAUCUACGUGUUUGGUAAAUACCCAAAAUGCUUAUAAGCUAAAAUCAGUCAUAAGUUGGUCACUCCAAACUUAUGACUUUUUAGCUUGUAAGCACUUUUAGUUUGACCAACGCUUUUACUAAUUUAUCCUUAAUAAUAUUUUUUAGUCAUAAAACAUUUUUCCCAAAAUAAAAUUUCUAACUUUCUUUGCAUUCAAUAUUCAUUGUUCAUCUUUUUAUUUGCAAAGAAACUUUUUUUAAUUUAUAAUCUUUUGUAAAGUUUGUAAGGAUAGUUUAGUCAUUUUAAUAAAAGAACAACUUAUCAACGCUUUUCUGCCGAACACAUCAACUGCUUAUUAUCAGUUUCAGCAUAGCUAUCCAAAUACGUAAAUGCUUAUUUAAAAAAUCAGCUUCAGCACUUACAAAUUCUUUUCAGCACUUCAAGCUUGUUAGCUAUUUGCAAUCAGCUAAUCCAAAUGGGCUCUUAGUCAAACUAAAAAUGCUUAUAAGCUAAAAAGUCAUAAGUUAUGGAUGACCAACUUAUGGCCGACGGAUGAUUUUUACUUAUAAGCAUUUAGCUUAUAAGCACUUUGGAUAUUUACCAAACAUGUAGAUAAAUCAAAGGUGCUUUUAAACCAAUUUGAACUGCUUAUAAACUUGAUCAAACACCCUCUAUUUCCAUCACAGGAGAAGUAUGUUUCUUUCUGCUCGAGACAAACUGAUGAGAGCUUCUUCAUUUUCCUUUUCUUCGAAUAGAAAUAAGUUUUUGAGAAUUAUAUCUACUUUCAUCACAUAAUUAGAUGCUAAACCAAAAACUUUAGUUGGAUAAGGUAAAACUUCAGCGAAACAUAAAAUAAAAAUAAAAAUAUUAAUUAUCAAAUAAUUCCGGACUUUAGAAAUAAAGGGAUUACAGUUGCUAAAAAUCAUAUAUGCAAAUAGAAAUCAUUUAGAGCAACGUGAUUUUUGAACCAUUAAUUUUUAAUGCAAGAAGUAGUAUAUUUUGAUAAGAAGGAUUAAAAUAAUAUUUUUGUAGUACAAGCUUUUUUCCUCUCCUAACUCUUUCCCUUUCCUAACAUGGACCCUUCUUUAAUCACAAAAUGUAUCCUGCCGGAACCUCUGAACAAAUACAAUCAAAUAGACAUUGAAAUGCUUCAACUAACUCACUCCUACAAGGAAAUCAUUUUAGACAAAUCGACAAUCCAACAAAUCAAAUAUUACAAAAAUGAUAUUUCCACGAAUCCAAAUAAGGAUAAAGGAAAAAACAUUGAAGGUCUAAUCCCUCUCUAAGGAUGAUAAACAACGCCUCUACCUCCCGUGGCGCUACUCCGUAAUCAUCAAGGUCUUUAGAGGAAAAUUCGACACACUAUCUUCGCUCUAAACUGAUUGAACUAUGAAAACCAUCCCAAGAGUUAAUUUUGACUGACCUAGGAUGUGAGUUCUUCACAACCAAAUUCAGCUUAGAAGAGAAUAUGGUUAAGGCUCUUCACUUAGGACCAUGGUUCAUCUCAGGAAACUUCUUGUCUGUGCGAAAAUGGAAACCUAAGUUUGUCCCACAAGAGGCCACCCUUUCAUCUACUACGAUCUGGAUUCGCUUCCCAUAAUUGCCAAUAGAGUUCUAUGAUAAAGACAUUCUAAACAAAGUGGGAAGAAAUCUAGGUAAGUUAUUGAAAAUUGACCAAUGCACCUCCUCACUCUCAGGAGACGUUAUGCUCACAUUUGCAUUCAAGUCCAGUUGGAAACACCGGUUGAAACCUCAGCCAUAACUGGAGACCAUAAACAGACAUUGAUCUAUGAAGGAGAAGGAACGUUCUGUACGUCUUGCGGAAGAAGUGGUCACGCCUCAAUAGGAUGCAACUACGGGAUUUAUCAAACCACAGCUUAACCUCAAGGAAAAAUAUAUAACAAAUGGAAGAGAAUGAGUGAAAAACUGUCACAUUUCCAUGAAGGAGAAAGCAAGGACAUGUAAGAUCGAACAAUAAGAAUGAUACUGUGCCAACUAGCCAACAUCAAAAUACUCAAGCUGAUCAUAUUCAGGUAAACUUGUUCGAUGCAAAUUUAGGUAAAUUCCUUCAAACUCAAACUAUGCGGUACAAUUAAUAAAAAAUUCAGCCCCAUCCUAGAACCUCAAAAUAGGCCCAAUAGCCCGAAAAAUAAACUAAGCCCCACCCCACAUCAUCAGUCCACCCCAAUAUGGCCACAAACCAAUACAAAUACCAAACGAAAAGCUGGACCGGGGCACGAUGACUCCAGUGACCCCAAUCACACCCAGCUAGAUCAGGAUGCCACCCCUAGCCCAAUUAAUGAGGCCACCGACCCCAAAUCUGCGGCAAGAUCUCAUGGGGACAGUCACGUUUCUCCAACCAGGCCCCUACCCAAUUGGAGGAUGUCAACCAUCUAAUUCCCAAUUCCUCUCACCUAUGCUUCCCCUACCAAUUCCUCUGAGAUAAUCUCUAAUGAGGAAAUCUCAACAGUCACCACCAAUAAUAAAGUGCCCUAUCUGGAACCCCUCCCACUUUUUAGUAAAAAGACAUAGACCGUCAACUCCAAUAGAUUCAAAAUUAAUGCCCAAUCCACCACCUCCCUCACGGGCUCAAUUACCAGCAACCCCUCAACUAACAAAGAUUUGACACCAGAGGGCAUGCUAUGGAUUAUUAGGUCCUUAAGUCAAUUCACCUUUAUUACCCAAAUUUUAGUAUAACCAAAAAGCACAAAAAUGGACAAGGAACAGAUAACAACCUUCGUCACAUCUCUACCACCGUACCACCUACCGGCUUCUUGGUUGGAGGUUGAUCUUCAUAGACCUAUAGUUUCACCCUGGGAAACCAGAAGGUGACUCAGAUUUUUCAAAACCCAUAUCACCUAGUAAGGGUUACUGUGGAAGCAUUAAACAAAGCCCUAGUGGCCUUUGGUCCUCUCAUAUAGCAGAUAAUGAUGAACAAAGACAGUGCAUCACCAAUCAUCGACCCCCAAACACUCAAUAGCCAAAUGCUUCAAACUUUCCAAUCCCUACCCUUCUUCCUCGAUCUAGCGAUGGAGGACCUAACAGUGGGCCCGGUCUUUUUAAUGAUCGACCCCCAAUCCCACCAAAUGCCAUCAUCUUCUGCAACACGAGAGAAGAGCACCUCUCCGCCCCUCAACAACAUCAAAAAGGGAAUCUCCAAGGCCCUAGAAAUCCUCAAAAAUAAAAGCACGCCAAAGGAGGAGAGAGCAAUAUACAAUCCCUUACGAAUAGGUUUGCUCCUACUGGACUCAGUCAGGUAAAUCGAGUUCAGUCUCGACACUAGUGAGGUGCUAGUGGUUUUGUGUCCUAGAUCAAUGGUCAAGUGCAGAAUGAGCUUAAUUUCCCUCCAAACUCACGGAUCCAUCAAGCCUCUACUAAAUCUGACCCUAGUCUUGAGCCUCAAGAGGAAAACCCCUCCGUCUCCAAUGAGGUGUUUGCAAGGAAUAGGGAACCCUCAGAAGAGUCUCCACUACCAACCCCCACCACCCUUAAUGAACUAAAUCAUAUGGAAUGUUACGGGUGGUAACAAUGCUGAAUUCAAGCAGCAUUGUAUGGAAAUGGUGAAGAUGCACAAGCUAUCCAUGCUCGUCCUUCUUGAAACUAAAAUGGAGGAUCAUAAGAACUUGGCAGAGAAGCUCCAGUUUGACAUGAUUAUCCAGUCACCAGCAAUAGGCCAAUCUUGGGAGGGGAUUGUGUUUAUGUGGAAAGAGGACUGUGUGAGUGUUAAAGAGGUGGCCACCACUCCCCAAGGUAUCCAUGCAAUGGUGAAGGUACACCAAAUCAUUCUCCAUGGCUUUUGUCUGCAAUCUACGCAAGUAAUAUUCUAGCUAAUAGGAAAAUUCCAUGGGAGAACUUAAUUUCAAUCUCCAAAAAUCUCACAAACAACUAGUUUAUAGGAGGAGACUUCAAUGAAGUCUUCAAGGCUAGGGAUAAAUUUGGGGGAAAUCCCAUAACCCCUAGUCACUGUAAUUAACCUAUUUUGGAAAUGCAUAAAUGAUUAAUCUUCUAGAUAUAGGUUAUAGAGGGAGUAAAUACACCUGGUCAAAUAAAAGUUACAUUAAUAUGGCCUCUCUUAUCCUGGAUAGAAUAGAUAGAUGCUUUGCAAAUGAAAUUUGGAUCAAACAAUACCAUGAGGCUACUAAUUUACACCUUUCUAGGACCCACCUUGAUCACUGCCCUAUCCAAGUUUGCUUGGUAGGGUCACCAUCCAACAGUAUGACUAGGCCACUCUCCUCCAAUACAUUGAUUCUUUCAAAAAAUUGUUACCAAUUGGAACCGGGACACCUUUGUAACAUUUUCCAUCAGAAAAGAAGAAUCCUUGCUAGAAUUUUAGGAAUCCAGAGAUCCUUUAAUUAGCAAUUUAGUAGCUAUUUGCUAAACCUAGAAACCAAUCUGGCUAGUGAGCUUAACUUUAUCCUAAAAAAAUGAAGAGGAUUUCUGGAAGCCUAAAUCUAGGAUUAACUGGCUCAAUGAGGAUGAUGCUAGUACAAGAUUCUUCCACUCCUCCACCCUUAGUAGAAGAAGAAGGAACAGAAUCCUCUUUCUUAAAGAAGAGAAUGGAAACUGGAUCCAUGAUCAGCAUGAUAUCCAAACAGCCAUAACUGGCUUCUUCACAAAUCUCUACACAUCCUCCCACUCCCAAGCCCCAAUGGUCACCACCAGUCAUCUCACUAUGUCCUACAUUCUGUCUAGACAGACCUCUGGAGUUGGGCGAGAUAAAAAUGGCAAUAUCCUCCCAUAAACCGUUCAAAUCUCCUGGCCCUGAUGGCCUACACCCUUUCUUCUACCAGAAAUAGUGGGAUAUAAUGGGAAACUCUGUCACAAAUUUCUGCAAGAAAUGAUUUUCCUCCAGCUCCAUGGAUGAAACCAUGAACCAAACCCUGCUAUGCCUCAUCCCAAAAUAUCCUCAAGUAUCAAUGCUGAAAAACUUUAGGCCGAUUCGUUUGUGUAACACAAGACCAACACUAAGAUUAUUGUCAACAGAAUAAAACCACUCCUGCCUCAUAUCAUUGGGCCUAGCCAAGACAGUAUCCAACAGGAAAGCCUGUGACAAUGCCAUCAUCGUCCAAGAAUACAUCACUCACUUUAGACAAAUGAAAGGAAAACAUGAUAACAUGAUCCUCAACAUUGAUCUAUAAAAAGCCUUAACAGGCUGGAGUGUUCCUUUAUAAGAGACACUCUUCAUGCUUUUAGUUUCCCUCUAGGCUUGUCCAAACUCACUAUGUCCUGCAUUAAUUCUUCCUCCAUCUCCAUUCUUGUUAAUGAUGGGAAAACUGAAUAUUUCAAGCCUACUAGAGGCAUAAUGCAGGGAGAUCCAAUAUCUCUCUACCUUUUCAUAAUGUGUAUAGAAAGAUUAUUCAGGUCCAUUGAUAAGGCUGUCCUGGACAAUCUGUGGCAGCCCAUAAGUAUCAGGAUCUGGACCUAGGAUAUCUCACUGUUUCUUUGCAGAUGACCUCACCCUCUUUGCUAAAGCAAACUAUAGAAACUGCAAUACUAUCCUUUCUAUUAUGCAGAAUUUCAAUGAUCGGUCAGGCAAGAAAAUAAACCUUGCCAAGUCUAGAGUUCUCUUCUCCACCAAUACAUCCUAGGACUCUCUAGAGAACCUCACCAACUCUCUGUCCAUUUAAGCCACCACAAGCUUUGGAAAAUACCUGGGUUUCCCCAUUUUCCACAAAAAAUCAACCAGUGCUGACUUUCAAUUCAUAAUUGAUAACACGCAAUCCAAAUUGGCGGGAUGGAAAACAAGUUGCCUAGGCAGGCUGGUAGAACAGUACUGGCCAAGACCUCCUUAAAGAACAUUCCUAGUCAUGUCAUGCAAUAUAUCAAUCUGCCCACCAAAAUUACCAAUUAAAUUAAUAAAAUCUAAAGGAACUUUCUGUGGGGUACCACUCAUGGAAGAAAAAACUACACCUAAUAAAGUGGGAUAAGGUCAGAAAAAGAAGGUUGAUGGAGGAUUAAGGCUCUAAAAAGCUGACCUUAAAACAAAACAGCUCUCACAAAUCUUUCCUAAAAAUACCAACAGCUUAUGGGCAAGAAUUUUAUUCAUAAGCACUGCAACAUGAGUCACACUCAUAGAAUCACUAGAACCUCUAGAUACUCCUACUUGGCAAUGCAUUCUAAAUGGAUGCGACACUUGCUGCAAAGCAAACAGAUGGGUAGUUCACAUAAAAAAGGGUUAAUAUUUUGAAUGAUACCUAGAUUCCUAACCAUCCGGCAAUUAGGAAAUUGAUUGAGGGCCCUCUAACUUAGAAUGACCUAAACGCCAAGGUAACCUCAGUCUACAAUUUGGGGAAUUAGGACUUAUCCACAUUAACAAUAGAUUUGCCCCCUAGAAUCCUAUACUCGUUAAACUCUGUCUUCAUUCCCCCAAAUCCUACAAAGGAGGAUUCCCUCAUAUGGGGUUGAACUUCCAGUAGAUACUUCUCAAACAAUUCUACUUACUCUUUCCUAAACAGGCAGCCAACAGCCUUAACACAAAUAAAGAAGGUUCCUUUAAGUGGAUUGGAAGCUCAAAGCUCCCAAUAAAAUAAAAAAAACUUCAUCUGGAUCCUUACCCAUAGGAGACUUCCCAUAGAGAGAUAUCUUCACAGAAUAGGGGUCAACUGUAAUCCCUAUUGCUCUUUCUGCAACAAUGGUCAAGAAACGAUUGACCAUAUUUUAUUUGAGUGUACUAAUGCAGUACUCUUUUAGAAUGACCUCCUCUCCAAAGCCUCAAAUGAAAAUAAACAGCAGAGACCAAGCUUCUCCACCCACCAAUGGACAUAAACCCGAAUUCAAUUAGGAAUAUGCCUUUCAAUAGCAUCAUUCUCUAAAAAAACAUCAUCCCCUUAUGUUUUUUGCCAUAUCUGGUUAACCAGAAACAACAAUCUCUUUAACAACAAAACUAACUCUUCAAACACUAUCUCAAAGCCAAUUAAUACUUGGCGUUAAUGAAAAAUGGUUCCACCAAAAUAACACAUCAAAUCACAACCAAAUGGGAGCCACCAAGAAGAGGACUCUACAAGUUGAACACAGAUGAAGCAGCCAAGGAGAAUCUAGGGAUAGGAAGAGUAUGCGGAGUUUUUAGAAAGCACAAUGUAGAUUGGAUAAUGGGUUUUAUGGAGAAUAUCCUCCAUACAACCAACUCUAUGGCAGAAUUGAAGGCCCUCCUAAAAGGACUCUAACUUGUGGAAUAAAAUAACCAGGUUCCCCUAGAAAUCAAUACGGAAUCAUAUGAAAUUAUCCAAAUGCUAAUGAUAGGUAGCCUCACUUAUGAUCCUAUAAUUUGUGAAUGAAGGACAUUAAUAUGCAGGAUGGACAGGGUCGUGGUGAAGCACACUUACCGGGAGAAAAAUAAGGUGGCAGAUGCUUUGGCUAAGGAAGCAACAAAGACAACCUUUUUGAAUAGGAUCUAGUAUUCUACCAGUUCCUCCGAUAUUUGCCAAUGAUGUAUUUUGACCAGACAUCCUAGCAACUGAUUCGGUUAGAUUUUUUGUGGAUUGUAAUAUGGAAACAAUUCUAGAAAAUAUUUCUGCUGUAGGGGUACUCCAGUACCCAAACAAUGCCUCAUCUAUAUAACAUCAUUUGCUAACUAGCUAUAUAUAAAUAUCCCUUUUAACCACAAAAUUAAAAAAAAAUGGCUAUAUAUAAAUAUCCCUCUUAACCACAAAAUUAAAAAAUAAUUUGUAGUGAUAAGAUACCAAAGGAAAGAUAAAGAAAAACUCUAAAAGGAAUUGUGGAUAUUUCUUUCUCAUUUCCACAGGCGUGGAGUUUUACGAAUCUUUAUAUGGAGAAUUAAACUCCUUAUCACUUGGUUUAAUAGCCCAUCAAAAAAAUAGCCCACAUUUGAAGUCCUUACCGAGUAUGGCCCAGGUUGUAUAUAAUGUGAAAAUUUCUUUUCGCCCACUAGCCCACUCCUUUUAGUUUUUUUUCUUUUUUAUGCUCUUCUCCUCGUGUCCCAACUUGGCAUCCCAAACUUUCUCCAUAAUACUCCUUCAAAUUCAAAGCCGAUAAUCAUUAUUUAGAUGAAGAAGAAAAAAUAAUACAUAAAAGAAUUAGUUUUUUGGAGUCAUAUGAAGAUCACUUCCUUCAGUGGAGUGAAAAGAAAUGUAUCUAAAGAGGUUCACUUGGUAGGUCGUUUGAUCACUAAACUAGAAAGAAGGUAUUGGCAUGGUCUCAGUCUUAUCCUCAUUCCACAUGUGAUACUAAUUCUAGUGAUUCAUUAAAAAUUGGAAAAUAGAAGUCACCAUUGAAACUGAUUCAAAGCUUUGAUUUCAGAAAUUACGUUUUUUAUUUAUUAGUUGUUUGGAUUGGGUGUUGUCCCAAUUGAUGGGAAUCAUCAAGAGGAGUUCAAAACUUAAAUUUGAAGUAAUUUGGAGUAGAUUUAAGCUAGAUUUGAGUUAAAUUUCAGAAGAUCCCCAUGAAAGACGAAGAAUAUGUGAAGCUCCAUUAAUAGGAUUUAUCUGUAUAAUAAUGUAUAAAAUUGUAUAAAUAAUAUAUAAUAGUGUACAAAUAACUCUCAUACACAAUAAUACAUUAUUUACAUGUAUUUGGUAAAUUUCUCACAUAUUCUUCUUCUUCUACACGUAUAAACAUAGGUAUCAGGAACAUUCUUUAUAGUGUUUAUACAUCUUUAUACACUUUUAUACAACUAUAUACAUAAUGUACCUCUUUGUAUGAAAGUGUAUAAUGUCGUAUAAAAGUGUAUAAACGUUUCUGACGAACUUAUACGAUUCACUCGCAAUUCUUGUUCAAAACUAGUCCAAAACUCUAUCAAAUAACUUUAAACUUUGUACACAACCUACUUAGACUAGUUCUAAUAAGUUCAAACAAUACCCACUCCAAUUUUCUCGCAAAAGCAUACUUAAAAUUUAACAAUAUUAUCAUUGAAAAAGAAAAUAUUUUAGGUUUCUCACGUAUGUUUUUGCAUUUUUGUGGAUGGGAUAGGUAUGUAUAAACUUGAGGAAAAAAGAAGAAUGGAAACUCCAAGGAUCUUUCAUGCUGGAAAGAUCUGGAGAAUAAAAAAGAAAAAAAUAAAAUUGUUUAUAUCAAUUUAUUGAUAUUUGGUUACACAUUUGCAAAUUUGUAAUUAGGCUAAAGUACUGCAAGGUCACCUUAUAGAGUGAUCUAUUGUGUAAUUCAUCCCUCUUUAUACUCAGUAAUAUCUACUGUAUCAAUUAAAAUGAAUUUUUAUAUUCCUAUGCCAUAUAAGAAACCUUAUUACCAUCAAUGUUUAGGGUUUGACUUAAUUACACUUAGUAUACCAAAUUACCAAUUCUAUACCCCAAUUAAUUUAGGGUAUAAUUAAUUAUAUAUUUUUUACUCCUUAAUUAAAGGAAUCUGCACGCUUCUCUCUCCUGACCCCUCAGUCCCACCCACGUUUUAUCCAUACCCAUAUUCUUUUACCAUUUUUCAUCUUCUGAAACCAAAUUCUCCCUUUAAAUUCAUAGAAAAUUGAAGAAACCCUUCAACAAAGUUGAUUCCCCAUUUUACUCCACUUGAAGUUCAUCAAUGAACAACAACAACAAAGUUCAUCAAAAUUGAAGUUAAAUCUUCAAAGUUCAUGCAUACAUUUACCUUCAGCUUCAAAUUUUCUCAAUGAAGAAAAACAAACCUUCAAAGAGACAAGAGAUCAGCAAUUCCACCAUUGACAGCCAUUAAAAAGCUUUGAAUUCAAAUUUGGAUUUUCAAAAAUUAUUAUUUAUUUUAAUUGGUUGUUGUUGAAAAUAAUUGAGAAUAUGUUUUGGAGUUUAUAUCUCAAUUUUGAGGGGUUUUGAUGAAGAUUAGACUUGGUUUUGACUAAAAUUUAGAUUGAAACUCAAAGAAGAAGAAGAAGAAGAAGACAUAUUGCAGAAAUUGUAGAUAAAUUUUAGACUAUUUUUUGCAGAAGAUUUUGUAGAAGUUUUAGCCGUUUUAGAUUUGUAAAAACAAAAAACAAUGCAUCUAUAAUCAGAAUACAAAUAAUCUAUAAAUAUUUUACAAAAUAUCUACAAACUGGAUACAAUGAAUUUUAAUAUCCCAAUUCCAUUUCAAUUGUAGCAUAAAUUGGUAUUUUCAACAUAAUUGCAUUUUUUUGGAGAAGAUUUGUCGAAGUUUUAGUCAUUUUUUAUUUGUGAAAACAGAAAACAAAGCACCUACAAUUAGAAUACAAAUAAUCUACAAUUUAUCUACAAAAUCUAUAAACUGAGUACAUUGAAUUUUUAUAUCCCAAUUCCCAUCCAAUUGUAGCAUAAUUGUGAUUUUUAACAUAAUUAUGUUUUUUCAGAAGAUUUUUAGAAGUUUUAGCCAUUUUUUAUUUGUGAAAAUAAAAAAUAAAGUUUAUACAAUCAGAAAACAAAUAAUUUAUAAUGUAUCUCCAAUUUCUCUACAAUUGCUGCAAUGUCUUCUUCUUCUUGUUCUUCGAGUUUCAAUCUGGAUUUCAGUCAAAAUCAAGUCUAAUCUUCCCCAAAACCCCUCAAAAUUGAGAUAUAAACUCCAAACUAUAUUCCCGAUAAUUUUCAACAACACUCAAUCCAAACAAAUAAUAAUUUUUGAAAACCCAAAUUUGAAUUGAAAGCUUUCAAGCUUUUUAAUGGCUAUCAAUGGUGAAAAAUAUCUAGAAGAAUAUUUACUUCCAUAAUUAUAGCGCGCCUAAAUAGGAAUAUCUGGAAGAAUAUGAUUUGAUUUGAUUUACGCCAAAUAUUUUUAGAAUAUUCCCUUCCUCAAGGAAUAUUCAGCUACUAUUAAUUAGUAUUUAAUGAUUGGUACAAUAACUGUAGAAAAAAUGUGGACAAGGCAAGUAAAUUAGAAAUUAUGUACGUUUUUUAUAAUAAGGUUUUAUAUAUGGUAUAUGAAAGCAAAAACCUCCAAUUAAAAUAGUAAGAUAGUGGGCUUUAGUCGCUAGGGUACACCUCUCUUUAGCGAUCAUGAAGCUUUGAAAGCAACCAUGACUGCCAUCGUCUCUCCCCAGCUUCAUGCUGUGGGAGAGUCCAUUCAAAACCCAAAGGAAACAAACGUUAAAUAAUCCAAAACAAACAUAAGCUGAACGAAUUGUUGGUAACAAAUCUGCUGCGUCGAACUCGAAAAUUGAGUUAUGUCCAGUUUCUGUUAUUCAUGGAGAGCCAACAAUUGAAUUCACUGUUGAAGAGGUUAAUUCUUUCACCAUUGAAGAAGGGCUUCACCAAGCAGUAAUACUGAAAUUUUUGUAUGGGAGACCUGAUCUUCAGGAAUUGCCACGAGCCAUUCCAAAGCAAUUUGAGUCUCAAAUCCAGAAUGUCUAAUCGAAAUGGGCCACAUGAAUCAGGUUUUGCAAGAGUCGUGCAGUUUAAUGGCAGGGAUGUGCAUCUAUGAAGUAGUGAAGCAGUUUGGAAAAUCAAGAAGCAAACAGGAAAAAUGAGAAAAGUGCCCAGAAAGUAUAAGAGAAUUGGGCAGAAAUAAGCAAGGGAUACAGGAAGUCAGGCAUUCUUUUGUGGAUAUCAAUCAUACUGUACAUGGAAGCUUAUCUGGAUCAUGAAACUAGGGGAGCUGAGAAACAAGAUACAGCCAGGAGGAAAACAUGGACAAUUAUGGAUGAGCACAAGCAUAGCAGCUGUAAUAGGAAGUGGCAAAUAUCAAGCUCAGGUUGAUCGACAAUGUCAUGCACGAAGCAGAAGCUCGACAACAUUUCUGGGCAAUAUACCAGUGAUAUGGAUCAUAGGCCAAACACAUCCUCAAAAUACUGUUGCCCAGGGGUCUUUAUAUAUCAAAAGAGAACACUCAUACAUGGAAGGAUCAAGCACGAUAUAGAGCUCAAAUGUUACACAGCAGAGAAUUUGGGAUGGAAAGGCACAGGCCAGUCUAGGCUACAAGUUGCGGAUAAAUGUACAACACAUGGGGCUGGGAUCACAUCAUCACAUCAACAUAGGACGUAGCAGGAGGCUCAACAAUUGAUAAAUAGAAACAACAAAGAAUGUCAGCAAAUGGACAACACUAUGGUUGAUGCAUCAUCAAGAAGUAAAGCAAUUCAACAUGAUCGUAGGGGCAGAGAUUCAUUGUCAUAUAAGCUCUGAUCGUGAUAGAUAUAGAAUGAGUAAUCUUGCUAGUUUUCAUCAUGUGAUACCAACGUUGACUACUCUACUCGAUAAUGGUAAUAGGUUAUAGGUAGCUUCCAAUUUUAUUCUUUUUUAUCUUAUUAGACCUCAAGACAAAUUAUGUUUUUGAAUUUGCUAUAUAUAUAAAAAAUCAGCCCUAGGCCUCCUUUAGUGGAUUGCCAAAGAAAUAAAGAUAAUGGGCUUUAAUAAUUGAUUUACUUUUUAAUAUAUUCUUGUUUAGAAAACGUGAUAAAGGAGGGGACUCAGCAUUUUGAUGCCAGUCAACGUUGACGUUGUUGCCUUCUCAGAAGACUCAUUCUGUGGCCUCUCUGUAAUUGGAAUUUAGUAGUCUAAUAUGUAGUACUACCAGAUUAUCCUCCUCAUUAGACCCUACUUCUCUAUGUUGACUUGACUCUAAAUUUUUUGUACUGAUUUCUGGUCAAUCAUGUCCACUCCUGGAGUUUAAAAACAGUGCUGUGGUCCAAAUAAACAUUCCUUUUCAAUGUGGUCAAGAAAUUCAGAAACUUCAAGAAAAAAGGUGUACUACUUUUUGUAAUUUAACGUUAUCUAUGUUGGAAUUUAGCCUUGGUGUGGUUACAUUUUAUUUCACCUACUUGCAGAACUUCUGUUUGUUAGUUAAAAAGAUAGAUGAACGAACGCUGUUGCCGGGAUCGAACACGGGUCGUCCGACUGACAGGCAGGAUUACUCACCACUACACUACAACGACUGAGUUGUUACUGCGCCAUUUCGUCUCAUCUACUAAUAAAGAAACCCAAGAAAUUAACGUUUUACAAUUAGAGUUGUUCAUAAAAAUCUGAAAAAUCAAACCAAACCAAACCGACCAAAAAGACUGAUAAUUUUUUAUUUGAUUUUGGUUUUAAAGUUUAAAACCGAUCAAAUUUGGUUUGGUUUUAUUCAAAAUAUAAGCGAAAAAAACCGAACCAAACCGACAAUAGGAGUAUCUAUUUUAAAUUUAUUAUUACAUCUAUAUAUUUGUAUAUAUUUAUACGAAGUUUCAAGCAAUUUAUCGUGAAUGAUAAUCCUUUGCACUUUUAGUAUAAUUCUUUACUUUUAUAUUCUACUCUGAUUGGUAGUUUUCUUUUUUUUUUUUUUUAAAUUUAACGUUCGACUUUCAUUGAUAUCAACAACUUUACAAUGAGGAGUUCUUUGUAGUAGUAUAGACUAACUACUACUAUACAAUCUAUCUAUGCUAAUACAUUUCAUACACUAUCGACUAAGGGUAAUGGUUAAGUUGUCGCAAUCCCAUUUGUCAUUUCUUGCAUUUCCUGCCUCGAAUAUGUACAAGUAUAGCUACUUCACGGCAGAAUUGAUCUCCAUCAAAUGAUCUUAUGCCAUUUCUUGCAUUUCCUACCUCGAAUAUGUACAAGUAUAGCUACUUCACGGCAGAAUUGAUCUCCAUCAAAUGAUCUUUCUUCAAAUCUAAUAGAAUUCCUACUUCUCCAUAUGAGUGAUGCUGUGGUGACAAAAGCAGUAGCCACCACAGCUUUCUGCCAUACCUUGCUUCUAGCAAAGCAACAUAUCCACUGAAGUUCAACAUUCCAGCUGCAUAUUGUUCUAUUAUAUCCCAGCCAAUAGCAAAUUCUUUGCCAAAGAUUCCUAGUAACUGGACAGGUGAAGUAAAGAUGGUCAAACUCUUCUACAGCUUGAUGACAGAACACUCACUNNNNNNNNNNNNNNNNNNNNNNNNNNNNNNNNNNNNNNNNNNNNNNNNNNNNNNNNNNNNNNNNNNNNNNNNNNNNNNNNNNNNNNNNNNNNNNNNNNNNNNNNNNNNNNNNNNNNNNNNNNNNNNNNNNNNNNNNNNNNNNNNNNNNNNNNNNNNNNNNNNNNNNNNNNNNNNNNNNNNNNNNNNNNNNNNNNNNNNNNNNNNNNNNNNNNNNNNNNNNNNNNNNNNNNNNNNNNNNNNNNNNNNNNNNNNNNNNNNNNNNNNNNNNNNNNNNNNNNNNNNNNNNNNNNNNNNNNNNNNNNNNNNNNNNNNNNNNNNNNNNNNNNNNNNNNNNNNNNNNNNNNNNNNNNNNNNNNNNNNNNNNNNNNNUUUUUCCUUGCUAAAUCCCAUAACAGUUUGGAUAUAGCAGCCUUAUUCCAAAUCUGUAUGUCAAUAAUAUUGAGACCACCAGCAGUGAUUGGUCUGCAAAUCCUAUUCCAAGCUACCAAAGAUCUUCUUGACACUGUUGCAUUGCCAGUCCAGAGAAAGGAUCUACAAACAGUUUCAAUUACUUUGAUCACCUUUUUAGGCAAGAUAAAUAUCUGUGCCCAAUAGGUUUGGAUCCCAAAUAUUACUGAUUUUAUAAGCUGACUCCUACCUGCAUAAGACAACAGCUUGGCAGACCAGCAAGUAAUUCUAUCUUUCAAUCAGUGGCAUGUAGUGAUGAAUAUUGAGUUUCUUUGAAUGGAGAGGGAUGCCUAAGUAUUUGAAGGGGAGUUGUCCCUCACCGAAUGCCAAAGCUUCAAGGAUAGCUUCUUUAUCUGUCUGAGGUACUCCAGCCAGGUACACAACACUUUUAGUGUUGUUGGCAGAUAUACCAGAUGCUGCAGAAAAAGCAAGAAAUGCUGAAUGCAAUAUUUGAGCAGAUAUGUGGUCAGCUCGACAGAACAAUAACAGAUCAUCUGCAAAGCAUAUAUGGGCACAAUCAAGUUUCCUGGAUAGCUUCUUUAUCUGUCUGAUGUACUCCAGCCAGGUACACAACACUUUUAGUCUUGUUGGCAAAUAGACCAGAUGCUGCAGAAAAUGUAAGAAAUGCUGUAUGCAAUAUUUGAAUAGAUAUGAAGUCAGCUCGACAGAACAAUAAUAGAUCAUCUGCAAAGCAUAUAUGGGCACAAUCAAGCUUCCUGCAUCUGGGAUGAAAAUUGAAAUCACCAUUCCUAUGUAACUGAGCCAAUAUUCUGUUUAAGUACUCCAUAGCAAGGAGAUAAGGAGACAUAGGAUCCCCUUGCCUAAUACCUCUUCUAGCAGGAAAAGGUUUAGUGAGACCACCAUUCAUCACUAAAGAGUAUGUCACAGAAGAGACACAAGCCAUAGUCCAGUCAACAAAUUUGGCAGGGAAUCCUAGAUCAAUGAGCAGUUGUUUGAGGAACCUCCAUUCCAAAGUGUCAUAAGCCUUCCUCAAAUCCACCUUUAAUACACAUCUUGGAGAGAUACCUUUUCUGGAGUAUCCCUUGAACAAUUCAUGACUGACCAAGACAUUAUCAAUAAUACUUCUACCUUCAAUGAAUUCUGAUUGAGCUUUACCAACAAUGUCAUCAAUAACAGCUUUCAACCUCCUAGUGAUGACCUUAGAUAUUAUUUUGUAGAUAGUGAUACAACAUGCAAUAGGCCUAUGGUCCUUCACUGUUUUAGGAACUUUAACCUUGGGCACAAGGGCAACAGCAGUAGUAUUGACCAUAAGAGGCAUCUGGCUGGUAGUAAAGAAUUCCCUUGUUGCAGCAUAUACAUCCUUCUUGAAAACCUCCCAGUUUUUGGUAAUGAAUUCCACAGGGAAUCCAUCUACACCAGGGGCUUUAUCUUUGGGCAUGUCUUUAACAGCAUCAGUUAUUUCUUCCAGGGUUACAUCCUUUAUAAGUGCUCUUUGCUGGUCCAAAGUAAGGCAUUUUCCUUCCUUGACAAUAGAAGAAUUAAUACAAGGCAAUUCAGAAGCACUCUCACCCAUUAAUGACUUGAAGACCUCAGUAAAUUCCUGCUCAACAGCCACUGGUUUUUGCCAUCUCCACACUCAAUCCAGCUUGCCUUUGAUUUCUGUCUCAUGAUUUGUUCUUCAAUAUUACUCCACUUCUCAAUGUCAUGAAGGGCUUCUUUUUCCUCCUUAAAUAGUUGUUCUGAAAAAGGAUUCUGGAGCAAUUGGCUUUGAAUAAUAUCCAGAUGUUCUCUAGCAUGAAUCAGUUUCUGCUGAUAGGAAGCCAUGUGCCUGUUCAUUUCUUUUAAAUGCUGCUUCAGAUUCUUCAACUUAUACCAUAUCUGAUGUAAAGGUGAUCCCUCAGUGUUUUGAGACCAUACCUGCUGCAAAAUAGAAGAAAAUUUAGGAUCCUCUAUAAGAGCAUAAUACAAUCUGAAUGGCUUAGGAUGUAGUAGCUUUUGUCUCCCAAACUGUAUAAGAAUAGGGGAAUGGUCAGAGACUGAAGGAUUCAAAAAGUCUGCUUCCAAAUGGCCAAACUGUUGUAUCCACUAAAAAGUACCAAGUGCCCAAUCAAUCUUGCUAUAAACCUGCUUAUUUGUCCAUGAAUACUUCCACCCUUUUGAUCUGAUAGGUGUAAGCCGGAGAUCAGAAAUAAGUUCCUUGAAAUCCUUGACUUCAGCAUCUGUCACAGGUGAACCAAUCCUAUCAUCAGAGUGCAAAACUGAAUUGAAAUCACCACUGAUCAACCAUAUAUCUGAAUUUGGAGUGUUGAUGCCUCUCAUAUCAUUCCAAAGUUGCUUCAUCAGAAUUGCAGUAUUGUAAGCAUAAAUAACACUCAGCUGCAAUAUGAUUUUAUUAGCAGGAUCCUCUACCAGGCAGUGAAUAAGCUGCUCAGUUACACAGGAAACAUGUAACUGUAUAUGAGGUUUCCAUAUUAGCCAGAUUCUGCCAUUAACUACACUGGUGUAGUUAUAUUGAACCUUCCAACCUUUAGCAAUCUUAUCAACAACCCUAAGUGCUUNNNNNNNNNNNNNNNNNNNNNNNNNNNNNNNNNNNNNNNNNNNNNNNNNNNNNNNNNNNNNNNNNNNNNNNNNNNUAUGCUUUGUGUUCCUUAACUCUAGUUUCAAGGCAUCCCAGGACAUCAACUUUAUUUCUAGCCAGAAAGUUUUUCAGUUCUUUCUGUUUAUGGACUUUAUUAAGCCCUCUAAUAUUCCAUGUAACUAUAAUCAUGAAAUAUUAGGAGGCUUACAUAAGGAAGGUCCAGGAUCCUGCUGCUGCAUCAUUAUUCCAGCAAUAGCUUUGACUCUUUCUAGCUCCAGCAUUGUCCCAUUAUAUCCACUUUCAUCAUAGUCAUGGUUACCAGUCUCUACUUCAGUUCCAUGACUUGCAUCCAUAUCAGUGCUGAUUUGUAUCCUCUGCAUACUUUCUACUGGUUGAACAGAACUCACAGACUUGUUAGGCAAAGUACUAGUAGCCAAUGCUUCACUCAUCAGUGGGACAGUAAUAAUACCAGGUUGAACAGAUUGCACUAACAUGUUAGGCAAUGUGUUGGAUGUCAUUGCUUCACUUGCCAGUGAAUCUUUGUUUUCUAUAUUAGCUUUAGGAAUCCAUUCCUUCCUUGGUUUCUUCCUUCGAGGCCUUUUCCUAAUCUCCUUAGUAUGCAUUGGCAUCUCCUGUUGCUCUACAUUAUGACCAUUAUACCAACAGUCAAGGGAGUUGUGACCAAACUUCAAGAAAUGGUUACAGAAUUCAGGUUUCCAGUCAUUACUCAACCCUUUGGAUAUUCAAUCCAAAAGGAGUUUCAAUUUCAAUUUCCUCAAGCAAGGGGAAGGCAGCAUCAACUUCAACCAAAACUCUGGCAUAUGAGAUCUUCUCAAAUUGAGCUGUGAUUUUGUCAGUAUACAGAGGAUUACCAAUUGCACUAGCUAAUUUGCUAAGAGUUUCUGAUGACCAAUACCCCACUGGUAAGCCAGGGAACCUAACCCAAACAGGAAUAGUACUAAGCACAACAUUCUGAAAUGAAAAAUCCACAGUCCAUGGCUUAAGCACCAGUGGCUUAUUUCUGUAGGAGUAUGGACCAUAUUGGAUUACUUGAUUCUUGUCCUCAACACUGUUAAAUCGAAAUAUGCAAUAUCCAUCAGUGUGCAUUAGAAUCUGUGGUUUCGCCACAAAAUUCCAGACAUGCAUAACAUAGUUUUCCAAGGAUUUCUCAGUAGGAUUAUCUCCAAUAAUGUACCCAAUUAAUGAAGCACUCCAGUACUCCGAGUGGGAUUCCAAUUCAUCAGCACUAAUUUUAAUCACCUUUUUUCCAUCCCUAUCAGUAGGCGGAACANNNNNNNNNNNNNNNNNNNNNNNNNNNNNNNNNNNNNNNNNNNNNNNNNNNNNNNNUCCGACUGGGAUUCCAAUUCAUCAGCACUAAUUUUAAUUACCUUUUUUCCAUCCCUAUCAGUAGGCGAAACAAAUGAUAAAAUCUUACCCAUAUUGUGGUUGCCUCUGACAACUUCAGCCAUUGUAGGAGAUGAAUGUUCAGAAAUGGUCAUAUCAGAAAAUUGAAGUUUCCUCACAGCUAUAUUUGCAGGAUCCGCAACAUUUACCUUAGAUUGAGGCUCAAUACUAACAAGUUCAUCUGCAUGCAGAUGGAUCUUAGCUUGAAACUUCUCAGGUAAGAAGUUCCCAAAAGUUAAUGGUUCCAAUUCACGUGUUAUUCCUGGAGCAGGGGUAACGAUUUGAGUAGCAGGAGGCACUGGUUGACGCCGGCGACGCGCCAUGAACGACGGUAAAGCUUCUUGCUAACGUGCGCCGCUAUAGCACUGUUUUCAUUAUUUAAUUUAUAUAUUAUUUGAUUUUUUUGUAGUUUUCUUUUGUUAAAUGUAAGAAUCCAUUUCAUGUUUAAAAAAAUAUUUUUAAUUAAGUCCUUAAAUUAUUCAUCACUAUUUGAUUCAAUUAUCAUCAAUAUAUAUUAGUAAAUAAUAGAUUUCUCAAAGGACAAUUAACUUGAUAAUGUUAUGUUGAGCAUGUGGUCGCCAGAAUAUGUGUUUGGUACUGUAUGUCUUAUAUUUAAGAAAAAAACCGAUAAAUAACCGAACAAACCAAAAAAACAACAAAACCCAACAUAAACCGAAUCGAGAAAAAACGACUUAAUUGAUUUGAUUUGGUUCUAAUAUUUGAAAAAUCGACUUACUUGGUUUGAUUUUUUUUUAAAGAAAAAAACUGAUACAUACCGAACUAUAAACACCCCCAUUUACAGUAAUGACGAGGGAUAAACCCGAUAACAGUGCAAUUUGCAAAGUAUUUGAAUAUUUGUGAAAUAUUAAAAAAAAACUUGUUUAAAAACUAUCAUUUGGCAACUCUAAAUACCCAUUUUCUACUUCACCAAAUAUUAUCAAAGCACAAUAUCUUAGUUUAGCAGAUCGGGGACUCCUCCCUCCAACUUUCUUAAUGUAACAAAUGCUAUGUAAUUGAGUUCAAAUUUCAAAACAGGUGCUAAUCAGUUGUUGAACAUUAAUCCAUAGAAGGUAGGCAAGAAAGUUGUGAAAGCAUGAUCCAAUAAAUUAAUUCCUAGAUAUUUUCACUUGGACACAUAAUUGCAACAAUUUAAGGGUAUUGAGUCUCUACAAAUUUCCAUCUUACAUGCACUUGUUGUGGCUGCUCCAUUCAGAAAAAGGUACCUUCUCGGGGUUGAACAAGCUUUCGGUUGUGAGGUGCAACCAUUUCUUUUCUCAACUUGGUCAGUAUAUCUUCCAUGGUGUAUUCUCUCUGCCAAUUUUCCAGCAUACGGAACUUCUUUGCUUCAACCUAUCACCAAAAUGUUAAAGUGACUUUCUGCUGCUUCCAACAAUACCAGGAAAUAUGAAGUCGUGUAUCGAAAUAUAUAAAUUGGGAGUCAAGUGAUAGCUACACAGCAACCCUUUCCCUCCAAUAAGAGAUACUAGUCAAUUUUAAGCUAUUCAGAAAUAGAGCUAACCAACCAAUCCUGAAAGAUAGAACCUAAUGAACAAUAUUGCAACAAAAUAGGAACAUUACCACUCCGCUCUCAGGGUUCACACAAGUCAUGUUGAUGCGUGAAUGGAAACGAACACUUGGAGGUUUUUCUGGAUAGUCUUUGUCACAGAAUAACUUCAACUGAUAAAUACGUCCCUGAUGUAUGUCCUGACAAUUGAGAAAACGGAGGGGAAAUGGUCAAUUACAGGCAUCGUGAUGGACCAAUGAGGUGCUUCUCUCAGCAUGUUCUUUCGAGAAUGUUCUUCGCUUCACGCGAAGUUGCAAGCAUUUCCACCAAAUGAACAUAGACUUUGCAUGCUGCUUCUAACAAUCAUAAAUACAAUAGUUGCAUUCUGGAGAGGCUAAAGCAGUAACAAGAUACUAAUUUGCACAAAGUGGUUAAGUGCUCUUUGAUCAUUCUUGAUCAGAAUUGUUAUGCAUGAUUACGUCCAAGACAAAUCAUAAGGAUUUUAUUUUUGCACAUAAAAAUAUUAUUAGGUGGAAGAAAAUCAAUUACAUAUGUCAAGUACUCAAAACAGAAAAUUUAUGGAAAGAAAGCCAUGUACUUUUCCUAACCUAGCACGCAUAUCCUUGCGCGGUUCAGCCACAACCUUCUUUAGGCAUUGUCGAUUAGUAUUACUGCCAAAGUACUAAACUAACUAGUAUUUUUUUUUGUAAAUAGACCAAACAAGAAUCAUCUACACCACUGAACUUGACAAAAAUUCAUUGACCUGGUCUCUUGAACAAUGGUUGAAAGGCCUUGUAAUUCUUUUUGUUCCCCCAAUUGCAGGAAGUAAAGAGAGGAAUUUCAGAUAUAUCUAUAAUCUGUUUGAAUUUUUCUCACAUGGAGUCCUAAAUUUGCAGAUAUAAUUAACCUUUAACAUCCAAAAGAAGCUUUAGUUCACCAGUUAGUCUAAAGAUAAACAAUUUCACUUGUUCUAAAGUACCGCAAAAUAAGAAACAUAUAUUGCCUUAAGGCAGAAGAUGUACAAUGUUCAAUCUCUACUUGGUCAACCAGUCAGUCUUUCCACCAACUUGAUUCAAUUGAAUUUGGAGAAAUAUUAGCCAAUUGUCCAUACAUGAACUUCCUAUAAUGAAAAAUAUCCUUUAAAGCAGUUAAAAAAGUUUCACAUUCUGACAUGAAUUAACAACCCAAAACUUCUACAGCUUAAGAGAAAACAAUAAAACAGAGAUCACUAAUGAAAACUAUUAGCAUCAGGAGAAGCUACUAGGAUAGACAGGAAAACACAGUUUUGAGAAGAGCUUACAUUGUGAGGACCAAUUAUUGUUCCAGUCCAAGAACGCAUAAAAACAUCGUCAGCAUCAUCCAUCCCGUAGCUAACAGAACCAUCUCCAAUACCUUUUUCCCCACGUUCAAGUUCCUCGAGCAACCUAAAGUUCCGUGGGACUGACAAAAAGAAAACAUUACUAUGCAUGAUUCAUUAUCCAGAUUUUUAUAAAUGGAAAUGAAGUAAAGAGAAAUUUCAAAUGUCAAGUGAAUUUAUAGGUUGACAAGUAAGAUUCGAGUAAGUUUAAAAUCCAUCACAGAUAAAUCCAUAAAGAGAAGGGGAGGGUUGUGGAAGGGGGAGGGGAGAUGGGGGAGUGAUUAUGAACAGAGCAGUAAAGUCGCAAAAUGAGCAACACAUUCAUUUUAGUGACAGUCAUCCAAGUGAAUUGCUGAAACAUGGGAUAACAAUCUAAACUAAAUCCAUUACAGGCUAGGAAGUGUCCAGGACAUCGUUUGCUUUCUGUAGUCAUAAAAGAGACUCUUCAUAUUUCUUAAACUCUUUUCUACCCCCUGAAACAUCUUCCUACUUCUACAUUCCAAAUUGUCCAAAAAAGGCAAACCCGCUAACUUUUCAUGCUGCUUUCAUCUCAAUCUCCAGUUUCUUUAACCUCCAACUAGCCAUAGCCUCUAGCAUUCUAUUCAGAGGUACCCAUCUCUUAUCAGAUAAAGAAAACACCACUGCCCAAAGCUGGUUUUGCAUAUGCAAGAAGCAAAAUAUGUGGGAAGAUCUAGAAGUAACCCACUUGCUGCUCCCGACGACAAAGCAAAUGAACCUCGUGAAGUCAUCUUCUAUUCUCAUAAUCACUUUUGAUAAGCUACUCCAUGAGGGUGUAUCACUUCAUCUCAACCAUCAAUUAUUAAACAUCCGUUAUUUAGCACAAUCACAUUUUUGUUUGAACCAUUUCAUCUAAUUUCCAAAGCCAAUACUCAAUAAAGCCAUAUUGAAAACCUCUGGUCUCCUCAUCCAUCUUCUCUCCCUUAUAGGGUCAUUAUUUUUCCAUUCCACCAGAUAGUAUUGCUUCUUUCUACCCACAAAGGUUCCAACUUAUUUUGCUAUAGCCGUAAGGAUAAAAUUCAAUAACAAAGUAUGUGGAUAUGCUAGACAGUGCAAAUUUCGACAAUGUUAAGUUUCCACUUUUUAGUAAAUACUAAUCUCUUGCAGAAACAGCCUCCUGCAGAAAUGCAAGGUAAGGCUGCGUACAAUAGACGUCUGUGGUCCGGCGGCCCUUCCCUAGACCUCGCGCACAACGGAAGCUUAGUGCACUGGUCUGCCUUUUCUUUUUAUCUCUUCCACCCACUCAAUCUCCGAUCAAAAUAUUCAGUUACUGACUGUUACAGAGUCCAUCUAAAUAGUGGUUCAAUUUAUUUAAGAUUUAGUCAUAACGGUGAAAUUUCCUCCAAGUUGCUACUCCAAAUGUACCUCCUAAAUGCAACCACUUUACAGUUGCAAAUCCACACUAAAUUAAGGUUGUCAUGCAUAUCCCUAACUGGUAGUAUUAGUCAAGACUUAGCCGUGUUGACAACCUUGAUAUUUUCAGACCAUAAUAGUGUCUUGAACAAUAUGAAGCUGUCUAGGACAAGACCCACAAAAAAUCAAAGUAUCAUCUGCUAAUAGCAAUUGGAAUAGAGGGCUGCAUUCACCUGAAUCAUCCCCACAUUGAAGCCCCAAAUUAAACCCCCAUGAAUCAUCCCCACAUUGAAGCCCCAAAUUAAACCCCCAGUCACUAUUUUGUCCAUCAAUUUACAUACAUUUUUCAGCUCAAAACAAUACACAUGCAGAUAGAGUAUCACAACAAAGCAAGGUCAGAAUAAAGAAGAUAACAAGGGGGAUAAUUUUGGGAAAGAACUUCCUAAAACUAGCGGAUUUCAGCAUCAAACACAACACUUAAUAUUAAGAGGACUCUUCAGUGCAAUGCCCAUACAACUAAAGAAAUGAGACUGGGGACAAGCAAACUGAAAAAUUGCCAAUUCGAUCCAGGUUAUCACAUAAAACUGUUAGGACUACAAAGACAGGAAGAACAGUAAAAUUCCUGCAGCAGCACACACCAUACAGCAAAAGAUAAACUAAACUAUAAAAGCAUAUCAAAGAAUAACCGACAGAAACUACUCCUCAAUUCCAAGCAAGUUGGUGUGACAAUAUGAAUACUCUAUACCCAUUCCCACAAUUUGGACGCAUUUCACUCCAAAGCACAUAAGAAAAUAUUUAAGUAAAUUCUUUUUAAAAGAAAAGGAAUUAGCUGAAAUCUGCAGGAUUACUUAUGCUUUGUUUUGUUAUUGUGUUUUGUCUUGUCUUGGUUCCUAACUUNNNNNNNNNNNNNNNNNNNNNNNNNNNNNNNNNNNNNNNNNNNNNNNNNNNNNNNNNNNNNNNNNNNNNNNNNNNNNNNNNNNNNNNNNNNNNNNNNNNNNNNNNNNNNNNNNNNNNNNNNNNNNNNNNNNNNNNNNNNNNNNNNNNNNNNNNNNAGCCUCUCUGCCCUUUUGGGUAGGGGUAAGGCUGUCUACAUAUUACCUUCCCCAGACCCCACCUGGUGGGAGUAUACUGGGUAGUUGUUGUUGUUGAAUUAGCUGAAAUCACAUUCAAAUUAAACACUUGGGACACAACUAAAACCAUGGUGUAGGUAGAAUCUACUUCACUUUCCAACAGUAAGCAAAAUUAACUACGAUCAUAAAGUCCCAACAUGGAAUUGCUCAUAUCCAAUAAGAUUAAAUAAUGCUCCCUCCUUUACAUAUUAGUAUGUUCUAAAAUAAAUCAUAUAUUUCUAAAUUUAAAAAUAAUUUAAUUUUAAACUUUAAUUUUACCCUUUUUACUGUAAUAAAAAAAACUUUUAUAGCCACACAAAUAAAAAAGAUAUGAUGAUUAGUGGGUUUAAUUACGAGUAAGGAGUAUUUUACCUUUUAUUCCGAUCCCUAGAGUAAGAUUCGUGUCAUGGAAAUCACGAGAAAAAUGAGCUUUCUGGCAUAUUAUAUGGUUCAACAAACUUUUUACCCUUAAAUUUAUCACGAGUUUCAAAAGUAUUUUUUUUCUUAGCUUCGUGCCGGGUCAAACUAGUUAAACAAUAUAAAAUGGGGUGACUAGCUUAAACAACAUGAAACGGAAAAACAAAACUUUCAAGCAAGAACUCACCAACUACGCUAGAUCCUCCUGAACCAAGAGUCAUUGAGCUUUUUUGAUGUAUAACUUACAGCCUUACAGAUCAGAGCUUUAUUUUCUUGAAGAUACGCAAACUUCAGCUUACUAAAAAGAAGAAAAAGCAAAAGCACAAGGGGUAGGGGGAGCAGGCCACAGUAAUUCAAGCCUAGGAAUAUGAAUACUGAUAUCUUCCCAAGGAGAAGAUCUUUUCCUUUUGCUAAAAGAAUAAUAAUAAAAAUAAUAAUUAAAAAAAAUAAAAAUAAAUAAUAAUAAUAAAAAAGAAGAUGAAAUUGCGUUGAAGUAGCAAAAGGAAAAAAAUAUACGGGAGAUAUUUUUUAAAUUGCGUUGAAGUAGCAAAAGGAAAAAAAAACACGGGAAAUAUUUUUUAAAUUGCGUUGAAGUAGCAAAAGGAAAAAAAUAAUACGGGAGAUAUUUUUUAAAUUGCGUUGAAGUAGCAAAAGGGAAAAAAUAAUUUUUUCCAAGUGGGAAUUUGGGUAAAUAAUAAGUAAAAUUUCACAUUAGAAUAACUGAGCUCCAUAUUUUUUAAUCUAAUAGUCUAUAUUUUAAUUCACAAUCAACUAGCCGAAAAUAACAGACUAAGGUUCAAUAUUCAAUUCAAAUAUGUAUUCAAAAUUACUAUCUAAUUUUUAAAAAAGAUUCCUCAAACAUUAAUUCAGCAAACCAAAUUUAUUUGAAUGGUAAAAAUUAAAUUUUUAACAAGCUUAAAUAUGUGAGCUUAAAUUUCAAAUUUAAUUUUGUGAGAAAUUUGGAGUGAGGGUUAUUUAGACUUGUUAGAAAUGGUAUUAGGAGGUUGUAUAUAAAAUUUGAAGCCAUUUAUGGAGAUUUGGAUUGGUUUUGAACGAGAAUUGCAACUGAAAAUCGUGGAAGAAGUUCAUCUACAUACGCUUUUAUAAUGGUGUAUAAAAGUGUAUAAAAGUAUAUAAUUCUACAUUUAUAUACACUAUUAUACAAGAUUAUACAUAAUUAUACAAAAAACUGACUCCGCCUUCUUCCUUGUGUCUUUUUCUGAAAUUUAACUUAAAUCUUGCUCAAAUCUACUCCAAAUCACUACAAAUUUAAAUUUUGAAUUUCUUUUGAUAGUUUCAAUUAAUUGGAACAACACUCAAUCCAAACAACUAACAAAUUAAAAAAAAUUCAUUUUCAAAAACAAAGCUUUGAGAUCUUCAGUGGUGGAUUUCUACCAUUCAAUUUUCUAACAUUGCAAGCAGGUGAUAUAAGAGGAAAAGCAAAAAAUACAAGGCCCUUGAAGUAUAUGUAGAAGAUGUGAGAAGAAGAGACAGUGAAAGUAAUGGUUGUAAGAAUAAAGAAUUAACUCUAUGGCUUUUAGAAGUAAUUGUUGUAAAACACAGAUUUUGAAUUUACAAGUGCUUUCAAAACAUAUAUAACGUGGACUAAAUAGAGUAAAACUUAAAAAUAUGAGCCGUUUUUUUGUUAUGAUGUAAAAUCAUAUGUAUUUUCUUGUAAUUCUUUCUAAAUAAUAUUAUCUAUCUUGUAUAAAAAUAUAUUAACCUUAUAUAAAUAAUGUAUAAACGUAUACAAAGGUAAGGCCAUCUCCGAGCCAUCUCCAUUUUAAAGUCAUUUUCAACCUUUCACUCUAAAAUAGAGUAAACUAACUCCAACCAUUACCCAUUUUUUACUCCACAAAAGGGAUAUUUCUUUUUAUAUUAUUUUUUCUCAUAUAAUAUAUAUAUAUAUAUAUAUAAAAAUAAAUAAUCUAUAAUUUUCUUAUUUUCAUUAAACAAAUUUUAUUUUAUUUUUUUUACAUGUUCAUCACAUAUAAUUUAUAUUUCUUUCUUAUAUUUAAAAUAAAAUUAUCUUAUAUAAUAAAUUUUUAAAUAAUAUAAUUUGUAAGAAAAUAGUAUGGAUUUAUGGAUAUUAAUGGAUAAUUUAAAUAAAAGUAAAAUCAUUGAGAUACAAGAUAAUUCAAUACAGUUACAUGUAGUUUAAAAUUUAGUUUAAAUCUAUCUAUUCAACUUACACCUCUAGUAUGCUCCUAUAAAUGAUUUAUUAAUGCAUUACGAAGUGCAAAAUGAACAUCUUUGUCCUUAAUUUUUUUUGUGUCGACCAAAAUAUUAUUCAAAUCGAUGAUUUUCAUCUACAACCAUUUGUAUUGUUGGAGUUGGACCUUCAUAAGCAUCUUGAAAAUGGAGCAUUAAGAUCAUACCCAUCCUCGAUAUUCAUGUUGUGCAGUAUAAUACAUGUAGUUAUAAUAUCAUGUAGCAUUUCUUUUCUCCAAAAAACGUGACGGUCCUGCAAUACUUGCAAAACAAGCUUGCAAAACUCCGAAUGCAUGUUUAAUAUCUUUUCGACAUAUUUCUUGUUUAAUCACUAAAAUAUUUCUUCUUUGGCAAACAUGGUUCAUGAAUAGUUUGCACAAGGGUGGAUUAUUUUGGAUAUAUACCGCCAACUAAUAUUAACCCACAUCAUGUUUUUUUUUUUUGAAUUACAUAAUAGGUAGGAGGAACAAUACCUUUGGUAAGAUUGGAUAAUAAAUGUGAUGACUCUAAAAUAUUAAUGCCAAAAUAUGCAUGCCAUAUCCAAAGGUCAUAAUCAGAUACAACUUCAAGAAUAAUUGUUGGGGAUCCACUACGACUUACAUGUUGUCCAACCCAUGUUGUUGGGUAAUUUUUCCAUUUCCACUGCAUGCAGCCUAGACUGCCUAGCAUUCUUGGAAAUCCACAUUGUCCAUUGAUGUGUAGAAACCUUGCAACAUCAUCAGUUGUUGGUAAUCUUAAUAUUGCUUGCCAAAAACCUCUAUCAUAGCUCGGCAAUAUCUCUUCACACUUUCAAUUGUAGUUGAGUGUAAUUUUCACGUAUUCGUUAAUGGCAUCCGCUGGCAAAUCGUAUGCCAGUAUUCUAAACACGACUGUGAUUUUUUAUAGAGUAAACAAUCAAAAUCUAACCAUCGUAUCAGUGCGUUGUUCGAAUUACAUAUCAUGACCUUGAUUGCAUCAACAAUUCUAAGGAACAAAUUCUAGGACAUCCAGAUUCCUACGAUGAAACAUACAUUCAUUAAAACGUGGAUUACCAUAAAAUAAACGUGAAACCAAUUACUAUCAGACAAUCUCGAUUGAUUAUCAAAUGACCUAGAACGGAGCCAACUAUGAUACUACAAUACAUAAUUUUUCAUAUGAAUUAUUUGCAUGUACAAUUGCGUCUCAGCUUUAUCAUUGAAAACUAAAGAUGACGAUGCUAAUGAUGAUGAAGAGGAAUUUGAAUAUAGAAAUUUAUUUUCAGAAGGCGAAUAGGAAUAUUUAAUUUGAUUUUGAAGUGAAUUGAAAAUUCAAUAUUAUUUUCCUAAAUGAUUAUAGAAUUGAAUUUCUAUAUUAGAUAAAAUAGAAAUAAGGAUAAAAUGCAUUGAAUAGUUGAGAUUAAGAUAAAAUCCGUUUGAUAAUUGAGAUCAAGAUUAAAUCUAUCUGAUUCUUAUCUACUAAAUUAUUGUGUCUACUAGUUUUGUCUACACAUUCAAUAAUGUGUAGAGAUUUGUUUUAAUAGAUAAAAUAGAAUUAAGGAUAAAUCAAUCAGAUGGUUGAGAUUAGGAUGAGAUCCAUUCGACGGUUGAGAUCAAAAUAAAAUUUACUAUAUUCUUAUUUGCUAAAUUAUUGUGUCUACUAGUUGUCUACACUUUAAAUAAUGUGUAUAAAAGUUUUUAAAAGAUAAUAUAGAGAUAAUGAUAAAAUCCAACGGACGAUUGAGAUUGGGAUAUAAUUUAUUCGUUGGUUGAGAUCAAGAUAAAAUCUAUUAUAUUCUUAUCUACUAAUUAUUGUAUCUACUAGUUUUCUAUACAUUGAGUAAUGUAAAGAUUAUUUUUUUAAAGAUAAAAUAGGAAUAAGGAUAAAAUCUAUUAUACGGUUGAGAUUAGGAUGAAAUUCAUUCGAUGGUUCAGAUCAAGAUAAAACCUAUCCUAUUCUUAUCCACUAAAGUAUUGCAUCUACUAGUUUUCUACACAUUGAAUAAUAUGUAUUUUUUUUUUAAAAACAGAUAAAAUAGUAAUAAAAAUAAAAUUUAUCGGACGAUUGAGAUUAGGAUGAAAUCCAUUCAACAGUUGAGAACAAAAUAAAAUCUACCCUAUUCUUAUCUACUAAAUUAUUGUGUCUACUAGUCGUCUAUACAUUGAAUAAUGUGUAGAUAUUUUUUUUCAAAUAUAAAAUAGGAAUCAUGAUAAAUCUAUCAAAUGGUUGAAAUUAGGACGAAAUCUAUUUGAUGGUUGAGAUCUAGACAAAAUCUAUCCUAUUCUUAUCUACUAAAUUAUUGUGUCUGCUUUAUCUCUAUUUAUUAAAAUGUCAACAAACCCUUCCAUAACCACAAUUCUCUUUUAUUUUUCUGUAUAUAAUCCACUUUUCCUCAAAAAUCAUUUAAAAAAUAUUUUCUCGAUCUGCAAGAUACUCCACAAAUGACGAUGUUUAUUAUACCGAAUUUAUUUAUAUAUUUCUCAAGAUCCACUAAUUGAAGUCAAUCAAUCCAGAGAUCAUUUUUGAGGUUGAGUCAUAGAUGGAUAUAAUAAUGCAAAGUUAGAGAGUUAGGGAGAUUCACACCAAAAAAUCAUUGCAAUGUCGAAUUCAGGCGAUUGAGAAGGUUGUAAGAAAAUUAAAUGGAUAUGCACACCAAAUAUAAAUUGGCGUCCUAGUGGUGCUUCAGAUCAAGAUAUUAUGAGUAUUUAGUUUGUAGUUACUUACAAUUUAUUUGUAUAUAUUUACUUAAUGUUUUCCUUAAUUUUUUGUAAUAUUAAAUAUUACACAAGCAAAAGAUUUACUUAUGCAAGAUUCGAACUUAAUUUUUUUUUUAAAAAAAAAUUGAUAAUGUGCGGGCUAUAAUGAAGAAUUUUGAGAAGUUUAACGACGGCGAUGCUGGAAAAAGAAGAAGCAAGAAAGCCAGUCUAUACUAAUGUAUUAUCAGAGUCUGAGACUCCUACCCCUGAUUCACCCUUGUGUCACGACCCCAAUUCCCUCCGUUGGGUGUCGUGAUAACACCUAUGAACCUAGAGUCAUGAUACUAACUUGUCACGAUCCAAAUUUACUCUGUUGGGUGUCUAUAUGGCACCUAGUCAUAGGGACUAGGUCAGCCUAACAUUAACGAAAAUAGCAAAAAUUUUUAACCAACAUCUCACAAUAUCAAAAUAGAAAAAUCUUUAUAAAUUUACAAAUUCCAAAAUCGUUAGUACAAGUAAUAAGCUCUACUGAGUUCCUAGAAGGUCUGCAAGUACAACUGUUUUGAAAUAAGGACAAACAAAAUAAACACAAUAUCAUAAGGUAGCUUCGAAGCCUGCGAAUACAGCUACAGGUUUAUUUUGAGUCUCUAUAGCAAAAUCCGUACAACUAGCUAACGAUCAGUUGACUCCAAAAUACCUGGAUCUACAUAAAAAUAUGCAGAAAUAUAGUAUACGUAUAGCAUAAGGGGACCUAGCAAGUACCAAGACUAACCUUAGUGGAGUAGUGAUGAGGAACAGUCAAAACACCUAUUGGACUAAAUAACUCGAGCAAGUAUAAGUGGAGAACUAACAGAGCACAACAAAACUAUGCAUAAUGACAACAACGAUACAAUGCUUACCAUAGAAAAUAGAUACUACAAUUAAUAGCGGAACACCACAAGUAAUAACAUAGAAGAGUAAGUUGAACAUAGUUUAAAUCCAGUGAAAAUAAUUAAAGGAAUGAUGAGUAGAAACUAGAUGAGAAUAACGACUUUCACACUAGAUUUUAUCCAAUAAUAUCCACGAGGUAUAGAACCUCAAAAUAUUCAUAAUUCAUGGGUUCCUAUUUAUGAAUCCUAAACACUUGGUGUACCGACCCAAAAAUUGAUUCGAUCGUGAUGGCACCAAUCGUGGAACUAGGUCAACCAUUUAUUUCCAAUUACUCUGUUUUCCAAUUGGAAAUCUUAAGAAAACAUCAUAUUUUAACAGAAAUCCAACGAUAUAAAAAUAGAUGUUCCAAAACCAGCAAAAAGAAAAUACAAUUUUGACCUCGAGUAUCAUUAGUUAUGAGCAAAAACUACUAUAAUUGUUCGAAGUAACAAGACUAGUACAGUCUAAAAAAUCUAAGAUAUAAACUAGAGGAAGAUAGGGAAGGAGAAGGCGAGACUGCGGUCUCCAAGCAGCUACCUCGCAAUCUUCAAGUGAAAAUCUGCACAAUAUAAACAGCAGUCGCUAUCAUGACCCAAGACACCUGGAUAUGCACACAUGGUGCAUGAGAUAAUGUGAGUACACCAACUUAGUAAGUAACAAGUCCAACCUAUAGACUAACAGGUAGUGAUGGGCCAAACCUUAACAGGUAAUAACAUAUAUCUGAACAGGAAAAGUAGACAUGCUUAUAAUUCAAGUAAAGGUUAACAGUAUUUAAAUGCAACUGAAUAGUACGAAGUUCAAAACUUAGAGAUUUUACAUACACCGAUGCACAAUUAGCAUGAUCAAUAUUCCAUGAACAUCCACUCACAAGUACUCAACCCCUUUGAUACUGUAUAUGGCCAUCCGUCCUAGGGAAGAUCCAUCCCCGAAUAUACAUUAUUGACCACAGCCAUCCAGUGCCAAGAACACAGGACAAUCCAGCCUCACGAUAAGAUCCAUCUCCCGGUAUAAUACUUUGGACAAGAUCCAUUUUCGGGGAAGAUCCAUCCCUCAAUAUCAUCAUGUGUGCUCAUUAGGGGUGUAAAGACUCUGGAAGGGCUUCUCUCAUUAGCCCAAGUGCUAUAACAAAGCCAAUAAGGGUUGGUUUAAUAUCUCGUUACGGUGUGCAGCCCAAUGUCAUACUGUCACUCAAUAUCAGGCUCUCAGCAUCCGCUAGUCAUAAUUUACCAGUCUCACACACGAGCUCCAAAUGUCAUGAUGCUAACCCAGUCAACAAUAAAAUGUGGCAAAUAGUAAUAAUCUAGAUUGAGACAUGAUAUAAUAUGCACGAAAAGGAUAGAGUAUAGAAUAUCAGCAAAAUAAAUGAUAUGGCAGCAAAAAACGACCUUUCGGGUCUCAAUAAUAUCGAUGUGAAGACUUAACAUGAUAUUCAAUAUGAUUUAUAGCUCAACAACUAUAUCACAUAAUUACAGCACAUAUAUCAGUAAGAAAGUGUUACAUCUUACAUUUUCGUACGUUAAAAGUUCUAUAGUCUGUUAAUUGCGCAACUCGGGAAUGAGAUUAUCUUGAGGUUAACAGAAUUAUGUUAUUUAUAACAAGUGAUAAAUAAGUGCCAUGAAUGAUAAAGAGUACACGAAUUAAAGGAAACAAAUUUCGUUGAAAGUGACCAAUUUGGGAUAAAAUAGGUCGAGCGAUAAUAUCCGAUAAUUAUGGACUUGUGCCAUGCAAGGUACCAUAUGACCACGGUAAUACAAUGUAUAAAAAAUAUAUUGAAAAUAAAUAAAAGAUUAAGUAAUUUGAGAUGAUUUUUAAAUUAUAUGGAUAAUUAAUUAAUUAUCGGAAAACAAAAUAUUACCUAAUUAGUUGUUAAAUUGUUAAAAUAACAUGUGGCAGCAAGCAAGGUGACAAGACCAAUGACUGAGUAGUCACACAAGAUUAGUAUCUACCUAACAUCAAAGUGUAAGACAUUGAACACUCAAGGUAUAUAUAAAUUUGUCACUUUUAAGAAUUGGAUCUCUUUUAAAUGGUUUGAUUCAUUUUGGGCGGAGAAAAGAACUGAAAUAUUUGUCUUGCGUCCUAAUUCUCGGUGUUUAAUAGCAGAACGCUAAGCUCCAUCCGAAAAGAAAGGCUUUCAACGAAAUUUUGCAAACAAUGCUAGUGAGAAUUGUUAGACCGCAGCAAUGUAAAAUUUUGCGGUUUUGAAGGAGUAUGGUACAAUUUUCUUUUAAGAAUAUUAUACAAAUUUUUUCUAUUUCAGGUAUGGUAAGGCUAUUUUUUUUUUCUUUUUGGCACGAUCCACAUAAUACAAAUAAAACGAGCAAAAUACGUAACUUUCAUAAAUGACUCUAUUCAUAAAGAUGUUAGGGGUGUCUAUAUUCUUUAUUACCUAUGUGAAUUAUUAUUAUAUCUUAUGUUCAUGGGUCUCAGAAAAAUACGUAUUUAAUAAAGUUUAUCCAAAACGUGUAUUGAUUUUUAUGGCAUUCGGAGAAGAUCUUAUUAACGUAUAUUCUUAUGAAUUUCAUGCAUUUAUACAUGUACAUUGACCCAUGACUAGAUGUCGUUAUAUACGCAUAUAUAUGUAUAUUAUAUUUAUAUAGGAUACGAGAAAACAGUUACGACAUUAUAUACGCAUCACCACCUGAUCAGUUUGUAUAUGUUGAUGAUGUUUCCCACAGUGACCGAGACGAUAUGACGGGAUGCCCUCAGAGGCUUGAUGAUAUUAUGUACACCUAUAGCUAUGCAUUAUAUGCACAUGCAUGACAUUAUAAAUAUUUCGGAAUUUACAAAGAUAUUCAGAUUUACAUGUGGAUUUCUUUAUUCCAUGUUUCAUCUAUGCCUUUUACAUACUGAUUUUCAUGCCUUACACACUCAGUAUAUUUUUUGUAUUGACACCCUAUUUUCGGUGUUUGUAUUCGUGCCCACAGGUGUAGGUAGGCAAGCUGACAGUCCCCCUUCUUAGGAUCCUUGAUCAGCAAGAGUUCGUGUGCUACACUUGAUCGGGAGCUGCUUUUGAUUUUGGUAGAUAUGCUUGUAUACAUACAUGUGUAUGACGUGGCUCAGCCCCGUCUUUGUGCAAUUGCAUUUCGAUUAGAGUUUUGUAGACAGUUAUGUAUAGUUGGAUAGUACGUGGCCUUGUCGGCUUUCAGUUAUGUGUAUAUAGUUAUCUAUAGUGGCCUUGCUGGCUCAUCACCUGUAUUUCGCACAUAUACAUACAUACAUACAUACAUAUAUAUAUAUAUAUAUAUAUAUAUAUAUAUACAUACAUACAUAUAUAUAUAUAUGUAUAUAUAUACAUAUAUAUAUGCCUUUUGGGGAGGUUUUCUUCAUGUAUGUUAUUCUCGUAAUUCAACAUAUAUUAAUGAGGUUUAUAACUUAGAUGCAUGCUUAGGGGUAUUUGACAGGUAGAACUCGGGCACCCCUCGCGGCCCAUUAGUAAUGAUCCGACCGGAAUUUUUGGAAUUUAUACCCCGAUCCCUUAUUAACUGAUUUCUCAAGUUCAUUUCUACUAUUUUUAAUUGGUUGGAAUGUUCGGUUUUGAGUUUCAGAGAGUUUUGGACACUUGGUCCCUAAAUAAGAGCUUAAGUGUUGAAAAAUUGACUGCAGUCAGAACAGUGUGAAGACGGCCUCGAAAUAGAAAUUUGAUAGUUCCUUUAGCUUCGUUAGGUAAUUUCGGGGUUAGGAGCGUGUUCAAAUUUUGCUUUGUAGAUCCGUAGCUAAUUUAGGCUUGAAAUGUCGAAGUUUGAAUUUUUGAAGUUUUUGGUUCGAUAGUGAGAUUUUGAUCUAAGGUUAGAAUGGAAUUCCGAGAGUUGCAGUAGCUUAGUUAUGUCAUUUGGAUGUGUGUGUAAAAUUUUGUAUCAUUCGGACGUGGUUUGGUUGGGUUUUUGAUAAAAAAUGUGUUUCGGAAGUUUUUAGAAAAUUUAAGCGUGAAUAUGAUGUGAAUUGGUGGAUUUGAUGUUGUUUAAGGCAUUUUAAAGAUCGGAACGAGUUUGAAUGAGGUUUUAGAAUGUGUUAGUGCAUUUGGUUGAUGUCCUGAGGGCCUCAGGUUAGUUUCGUAUGGUCAAUAGGACCAUUUUUUGAAUUUAGAAGUUGCAAAUUUUGGAGUUCAGGUGUUGCAGAGUUUAUCUCUUCGCGUUCGUGUGAGUAGGUUUGCGUUCGUGAAGAAGGAUGGGAGGAAGGCCAGGUUUUAGCCUUCGCAAUCGUGACAUGGGCUUCACGUUCGCGGAUGGCUGUGGAUCAAAGUAUCGCAUUCGUGAAUGAGGGUACGCGAUCACGUAGAGGAAGUAAGUCAGAUGGGGUCCAAGGUGAUUUGCGCUACGCAUCCGCAUAUGUGCCGCCGCAUUCACGAAGGGUCACCCAGGCAGAGCAUCGCAUUCGUGAGUUCUAUGUCGCGAUUGCGUAGAAGGGAAAUAUGGUCAAGAUAAGUUGUGCAUCGCGAACGUGAGAGGUUGACCGCAUUCGCGAAGAAGGAGGAGUUACACAUGGGCAAAACGCUUUGAAACAUUUCAUCCGCGAGUUUGGGGCUCAUUUACUCUAUUGUUGAUCUUUUUGAGAGCUUUAUGAAGUGGGUUGAAGAAGGAUUCAAGGGGAAUCACUUGGAGGUAAUAGUUUUGACUUCAUAACUCAUUUUUAUGUGGUUUAAUACCAUAUUAAUGGUGAGAAAUUUAGGAAAACAGGGUAAUUAGGGCUUGAUUUUAAGAGGCCUUUAAAUAAGGAUUUGAGGGGUCAUUUGGAUUCUGAUUUUUGUUCUUAUUAUGCAUAGACUCGUGUGAGUGUGAGGAUUUUGAAAAUAUAAAUUUUCCCGAUUCCGAGCAUUGGACUGAGGGGCAUUUUGGUCAUUUUACAUAACUUCACGUAUUAACUUAUAAUUUAAUUGUAGAAUCAACUACUUGAAAUUUUAUUUACACUAUGAUGUUGAAUAGAAUAGAUUUGGGCCAUUGGAGUUGAGUACUCGUGGCAAGAAUGUGAUUUCUAAUUGAUUUUGAGCCGGUUCGAGGUAAGUAUUUUGCCUAACCUUGUGUGGGGGACUUUCUCUUAGGACUUGAGUCUUCUCUACCGAUUGUAUUCUGUGUACGCGAGACGACGAGUACGUGCUUGGAUUUAUUUGUGGGAAAAUUGGUCUUUUUAGGUUCUUAGGUCCUUAUAUAUUCACUGAGUACGGAGUUGUUCUUGAUAUGAUUGAAUUCUUUGUUUGGUUCUUGUCUUACUUAACUGAAUAUCUUUACCUACUCCAUUGUCACGAAUCUUUCAUAAUUGCUUGUUUUUAUUGGACAUCAUUAUUAUCUAUCAGAUAAUUAUUUAGUCUUAAUUG
rnacentral:lncRNA from 1 species